CUUUCUUCUCAGGAAGAAGAAACGCAUGAGAUUGGCUUUUAACAGAAAUAUGUGUAUGCAUAAAUCAUUAUUUUAAUACUCGAUCAUAUCUUUAUAUUUUCUAAAUUAAAAACAAGAAAAUAAAAUAUUUUGAUUUGUUUUAAAGAAAAAGAACAAAAAAAAAAACUCUCUCCUGGUGAUUCACAAAAUUUAUGAUCGAACAAAAUGAGAAGGGGGACUGUAAAUGAAAGUUAUAGAUACAAUGAACUAAUAAGAAUUUAGGCAUGAUGUUAGUCUAAAAAAGUAUCAUAUUUAUUACAAAUGAAUCACAGACACUAAUGGAAGUUUUGCAUCCAAGUUGGCUUGUCAUUAAUUUUUAAAAUAUUUUUAAAAUAUCGUAUUCACUUUAAGAUAAUAAGUGUGCAUAUCAGCUGUCCACCUAAAAGAAAUAUUCUAGAAAUAGUCAAGUAUAGUGUAUUAUAGUAUAGUUGACCUUUUUGAAGAGAAAAUUCUUGGAUGAGUUAAGUUCACGACUCACGAAAUUUAUGAUAGCAAAAAAUGAAAAUUAUAGAUACAAUGAACUAAUAAGAAUUUUGUCGUGAAAGGUAUCAUAUUUAUUGCAAUUGAAUCGAAGAUACUUAUAGAAGUUUUGCAUAAGGAGGAGUCACCUCUAAGGUGCCUUUUAAAACUUUUUGGUCUUUUCAUGAUAGUAUAGUAUAGUAUAGUAUAGUAUAAAGAAAAACUAAGCCCUAACUUUAUGCUUCUUCUUUAAAUUUCUUGAAAGAAUAUAGUUAUAUUUUAGCAAAUAUAAUAUAGUAUUAUAGUAUAGCAUGAUAUACAUGAAAAACUAGCCCCCAACUUUCUGCUUCUCUUUCAAAGUUUUUGAAAUAAUGUAGAUUUAUUUUCAAUAAACAAAGAUGAUAUUCAAUCAGAAACCUAACAUUUUCAAAAUUUAUCGAACGAUGUUUUAGCAAUAAAAUUUACGCGUGAGAUUAUGAUAAAUAUUAAUUGUUUCGCGUAUAAUGGAUACAAUGAAUAUAAUGUAAAUACUUCCCACACUGAGCUUAUGGAGUAAAGUGUCAAAAAAAAGAGAUAUUUGGGGUCUAUCAUUCACAUCCUAAUAUACUAGUACUAUUUUAUAUUAAUUAUGUUUCAUAUUCAUGAAAUAUGAAUUCUCACAUUGUGCAUUCUGAAUUGAAGCUUAAAACAAAAGUAUCUCUCACAUAGAAAAUAAAAAUAAAAAGAACUUCAAAACUUUAAAGUAUGAUUCAAAUGGGCAUUCAAUUUCUUCCUUCAUACGAUCAAUUGUCAUACCGACAGCUCCUGUCUCGAAUGAUAUCUCUCUUCAUUUUGUGCCUUCUAUACCAACAAUUAAGUGUAUAAGCUACUAUGGCUCUCGAAAUAAUGACACUACCUUUAAGGUGUCUAUUUUGUGCUCAUAAUUGUAUCAUAAUUACCAUGUCAAAAAAUGAUGAAUGAGACAUGAAGUCAUGCGGUCACAUUCGACCCACAAAGAUAGUAUUCAUGUGCAUUUACGAUGCCAACAUUAGCGAGGCUGUCAAGUCUUGGGAGGUUUCAAAAGCAAAUUAUGCUCGAAUUAGCAAUUAAUGAGCUGAUAGAUUUUUGGUAGAGAGAGAAUCAUCAUGGCUUCUUCCAAAAUUGUUCAUCUCACUCUAUCAUUUAUUUAUGUCGGUCAACGAUAAGAAAACGUGCAUCACAGAAUUAAUUAAUGUGAACGGAAUGGGUAAAUAUUUGGAAAUGGAAAGAGAGACUGAGAUGGUUGGCUUUGAAAAUAAUACUUUGUGAUUGAGUGUGUUUUAUUAUGUGACAUGGAAUCGUAUGAUGGAUUUAAUCAACAUGACAUGAAUUUUAUUUUAUUUUUUUUCUUUGGAAUUGGUUUCAAUGAAUGCAGAUCAUACCAAAGGUAUUUAAUAAAGAAUCUAUCUUGGUAUAAAUAUUCAAAGCGUAAGGAAAAGAGAUAAUCAUAAACUCACUUAUGACAAAAGGUAAUUAUAAAUUUCUUUUAUAUCCUUUAAGGUAUAAGAACAUAUUCUAAAUAUUAGUUCUUGAAUUCAUAUUUAGGGAUCUUGAAUUACUAACUUGAGUAUCAAAGGGAUCAGGUCGAAAAAUCUCUUUUGACCUCGAUUUUUUAUGUAGAUAACAUCUUGGGAGCAUGAUAUUUUCACCUCAACAUAUCAUCUCGGAAAUAUGAUAUUUUUACCUUAGAGACACUUUGGACAUUCUUACGUACACGAGCCUAGAUUAUGUCGAAUUAACCAAGACAUCAACAUUUUUCUCUAACAGGACUAUUUGGGUAAUUUAAAAAGGAUUCCUUAAAUAUAAUCAUCCUUUCAUAUAUUUCAUCUCAAUAAUUUGUUUAUUUUUUAAAAUAUACAUAAUAUUAAUUUAAAUAAAAUAAAAUUUUGGACGGAUACUUCAUAACUUUUGUAUCCAUAGAUAUGGCAUAAAAAUCUAUACAAACGAAAAUAAAUGAUCCCUUCCGAGUAUAUUACAUUCCAUUUCUUAAACAACUUUUAAGAAAAUCGCAUCCUAAUUAAGAGUUAUCAAAUAUUUAUUACUGUUAUUAAGCAAAAUCUUAUCAAAGUCUCUUCUACUUUUCCUUGCAUACUAAUUUUAACUUAUGAGCAUACUAAUUUUAAUCCUCGAAGAAUGGUUGAGAAAGUCGGGCACAUGAGGGACUCCCCCAUCCCCCAUGAAUGUCGUCACAUGCUAAGAAGGAUCAUAGUUUUCAUUAUAGAGAUUUAGUACAAGGAAGCAAAAUCCUUACGGGAUGGGAAUCCCUCCCUCCAUGAUGUUUUUGAUAAAAGAGAAUCAUCGGUUGAACCGAUUUGAUCAUCAACCUCGGUCGAGCUACAGUUCAUAAAAUCAUUGGUUGAACCAUAAUAGAUUAGACAAUAUUUGCCAAAUGCAGCUGUAUAUUGAUAACAAUAUGUAACUCAUAAUCUUAUAGAAUGUUCUGCCUAUCGUUUUGAAGCGGCCAAAACAGCAUUAAGUUUAUUCAUGGUGAAAACGGUGAUUACAAAUAACCACAUAGUAACAACAUAACUUGCCACCACCAUGACAACAUCAGUGUGCAAAAAUUAGCUCCUUUAUGGAUUUUAGAGGUGAACUGUAUCCAUAGGCUACAGCAUCUCUCCAGAGGACCAUGCCUGAUCAAAGAGAAACACACGAGUCAUGACUAAUUUGCUAAGAGAAAAGAAUUAUGAAAUUUGAAUAUUUCAUUACUUCCUCAGUCAUCCAGAAAAAUGGUGUUCUAGCUCCCUGUCACAACUGAAAACCUGAUCAGCAGACUAUUUUAUGGCGGAUCAACCAUGACUCUGGCUAUGUUUAGCUUUUAAAUCAUAUUGAACAUGUUUUAUCCAAAUGGAUAAUAUGAUUAUAUAUUACAAUUUUAGUUACCACCAACCUAAUAGUUGUUUGCUAUCCAAGGGUUUGAUCCUACAUUUUGUAAUUAUUACAAGUGUCAAUUAUAAUCGUAGAUAUGGGUACUCACGAGGACUUGCCCUUAAUGGGGCAGAGAUAAUAGACAUUUUUUAUUAUCCACGCUAUUAUGGAGCGCGAAUGGGUAGAGCACUCCCCACCCUAUCCCCAUACCCACUCCGUUAAUAUGUGGGUCAAGAUGUCCAUACCCAAGCGCUGAGCAGGCUAGCUCCCCACCUGAUUCAAAUUAGACCGGGUUAAGCCUUGAUUGAAUCGAUUGCAAGUCAAUUGCAAGCCAUUUGGUUCGAUUGAACCAUAUGACAUAGUAUCAACAAAAAUUAUCAUUUGUAUUUGAAUAUUAUUAUGACGUAUAAACUUUACAAAUAUUAUUUUUAUUAUUUGUAAAUUUUGAUAAUAUUAAUUAAUCUUGAUAAUAAUUUUAUUUUUAAAAAAUAAAAUAGAUUAAUUAAGAAAAUAUAGAGAACCUACGGGUUCCACCCCAAAUGAGGAUUCCCUAUCCUUGCCCUUGCCUCUGCCCCUACGUCAUUUAAAUGGAGAAUGGGGUCGAGAUGAGGACGAGACAAGGACGGGGAUGGAGGAAGCACUCCCCUUCCCACCCCAUUGGCAUCAAUAUUUAUAAUAUUUACAUACAAAGAAAGAACAAAAAGGAUUUUUAAAAAAAACUACUAUGACUUUAUCUACUAGCAGAUUCUGCAGGAAGCAUUUUGUGCAGCAGUCACAAGGGACAUUCAUCUAGAGUAUCUCCAUGACAAGAAGCACAUAAAAUUGUUAAAUUGAAAACAAAGAAACAAAGGAAAACAAUUUAAAUACAUAUGAUAGAAGAUUCAAGCUGGUGUUAAAGAAUAAUGAAAAAUGAGUAAAGUACCUAUCCAAAGAAGCAAUCCAAUAGUUGUCCCAAAGAAAAACUCCCUGCUGAUCGUAUUGAAACUAGUACGGUCCAAAGGUUAAGAUUCAAUUGUCAGACAAAAGAAUGUCUCAAAUCACUCAUCAGAUAUAGAACAAUGGGAACUUACCAAUACAUGCAGAAUAGAUUUCCCCAGCCCUGAAGAAAGGAUGCCCAAGCUGAGCCAGUAAACCUGUAAUUCAAAUAAUUACCAACUAUAAAAGUCUUACAGGGUGACAGGACCGAGGGAUAAACAUAUUACAAAAAAUCAUAAACCUGUUAUUCAGAUGGUACAUAACAUAAAAGCUUGCCAGGUAGCAGAAUCAGAAAUAAACCUACCACAUAAAAUCACGAAUGAAUAAAGCACGUGGAAUCAUCAGACCAUUUCCCAUCAUUGCAAGCAACAUUGUGAAAGCCGAUAACCCUCUGAUGUUAUCAGGAUUGAGAUAAUUUGUCCACUGCAAAUCAGACCAAUCAUAAGUUCAAUAUCCCAUAUAACCAUAGAUACACAUAAAUGACUAAGAUAAAGUAAUUAUAUUAGAUACCAUUUGUGCGAUGGGCAUCCACAUAAAAAGCAGGGUGGCAGUCCAUCCAGACAUUGAACUUACAAAUUUUGUCCCUUUCUCAGAAAGCUUGCCACUUCGUGCCUGUAUGCAUUAUUGACCAUAAAACCAAGAUGGACAAAUUAAUGUCCCUAAUAAAGUGAGGAAAGACAGAUUCUAAAGAAAGAAAAUUUUUAAAGUUGCUUGUAUAAUGCAACAUCGAGAAGUAUGUCUGUACUGGAUUCUAAUUGCAGAACCCAAUUACCCAAUGCAGCAUAACCAAAUAUCGAGAAAAUGGAGUAAUCAGUAAAUAACAAUNNNNNNNNNNNNNNNNNNNNGAUGCUAUUACAAAUGCUACUUUUAUGAUCAAACAGUACAGUAUCAUAAUCAUCCUUAAGCCAAUGCUAACAAUCGGCAAAGGUACAUAUAUGAAUGCCUGAGGCAGAGACACAAAUUGACUUUCCCUAAACCUGUAGGUGAGAUCUUUUCUAUAGUGAUGAGUACUUAAUAGAAAGGAAGAAGAAUAGACAAAUCCUAACAACAAAAACAAGAAAGCUAUACAUUUCCAAAAGUAACAUUGAUACUAAUGCGCAACUUGGAGUUAUAAAAUAUAUAAGUUCAUAAAACAGAUACACUUCCUUCAAAGCCCCAUGAAGUAUUAAACUAUUAUGCAUUAUUCAUCAAUUUUUUUAUGUUGUAUAUAUAACAUGUUCACAACCAUCAAGAACUCGUUAAUUAUGUAUAUAACAACAAAUAAUGAUCUUAUGCAAAAUUCUGAAGAACAAAAUUGCAAAUAAAAGCAAUGCUUAAUAUAUUUAUUCAAGGUAAACAAUGUUUUAGUAUUAAGAUUAAAAAAAUUCACACAGAUAACAAUGAACAAGCCUUUUUUACUUUACCGCAGCAACAGGCGAAGUCACAUAGUAUUCGCCAAAAGUGUCGCCAUAUUAUUCGUAUACUAUUUUGUCAUAUAGUACAUGAGCAGUUCUUUUUCGUCACAGUCACUGUAGUACAUUGAGAAUGAUUUUGGUAACCAAUUUAUUUUUAUGGUAUUUAUUCUCAUAUGGUAUCAUCCAGCAGUAUAUCUACACGAUUUUAAGACUGAAUACCCAAAUGUGAUUCAGAAAACUUCAAGACUAGUGCACAGGAAGAAUUAAGGUGCAUAGCUCACCAUGGCGACAAUCGCAGUAGCCAGAGUGAAGGAGACUGCCCCAGGCAAGAUGCUGUUAGGAACCAACGGGACAAACGUUGACCACAUGACCUACAGCUCCAUCCAUUGUCAUCAAACCACCAAAUUUUGAGUGCCAACAUGCGGAACAAAAGGCUGGAGGCUCACCUGAGGGAGAACAGCGAGGCCACCAAUGGUAAUGAAAUCCUCCCAUGGGCUCCAGAUUGCCUCGUGAAGCCAACCAAAGUAAUUCAAACAGUUCAAAAUCAGCCCUGAAGCCACGACAAUUGAAGUCGCCAGAAACUGGGGCAGCGGCAUAGCUUCAGCCAUGGCUAGCUGUGCUAUCACCGCGUAGGUCGAAACGACCCCCAAAGUCUGGACGACGACGGCUUCAGUCUCCUUCUUCUUCGCAAAGUAGGACAGUAGUGACAGGUUCCCCAGCAAUCCCGUAAGCAUCCCCUUCAACAGUUAUUUCAAGGAUUCAGGCAAAAAACAGAGGCUUUCACGAAAGAGACGCAAAACUCACCAGCCAAGGAACGGCGAAGAGGGCCGCAUUGUUGCCGGAAAGAAGGUUGCGGGCGUUGAGGACGAUCUGGGGGAGCUGAAGGAGGAGGAACGGGACGUUGGCAGCUCCGGCAAACUUGGCGCUAAUGGAGUCCCAUUCAUGAAAUUUGGAUCCCUGAAGGGGAAAGUUCCUUUUCUUCUUCAAGUAACGACCAAGAUUUCUCAUAUUUUCCUAUCUUUUGCAUAGAAUAGAAGGAAAGGUUCCAUUACCUUGUCGACGGGAUGUACGGUGUCGGACGAGGAGGCGGAGAGCGGCGAUCGUCGGUGGGGCGGGUCGGAGAAGAAUUGAUUUAGUGUUAUACGGCAACUACGGAGAGGCACGAGAGCAAAAGUUUGGGCUCUUACAAGUUGAGACGAAGGAGGGGGCGGAAUCAAGGGGGGGCAAACAUAUGGAGGAGAUAAACGAAAAGAGAAAAGCGAUGGCCGCAGCCGGAGAGUCGGCGGCGCAGCUGCCAUCAAUCAGAAGUCUAGAGAGAGAGAGAGAGAGAGGAAGGUAGGCGAGGGAAGGAGUUACGAGAUGGGAAGCAGGGAGGACAUCGGGGCCUUCUUCCUCCAAGCACGAGAAGAGCAGGGUGACCGACGGCACGAGAAGAGCCACGUGACGCGGAACGGGAUGGAGAGUGACGUGGGGUGGGUCCGCGUGGGAAAAGGGAAUGGACGGUUACAGAAGUAAGAUGUUAACGGCGACGGACCAGCGGGGGGAGGCAAAGAAGGGGAUUACCGAGGGCUCGGAUCCCAACACGGCGUUUAUUACUCGAGUCUCUGCCCUUCUUAUCUCUACGGUGUAUGUCUAUUUGAUAAGGUUAGUCAAGUAAGAUCUAGUUUAUAGAUAGAUAUAAAUAUGGUCUUCUCCUAACUAUUAUAUUGGAUCAAUAUAAUUUAUUUUUCAAAAUAUUCUUUUUAACUUAUUUUGUAUGAUUGAUAUUUUGUGGCCAUUUAUGUUUAAAAAUAAUUGUUUUUUAGUUUUAUAUUAAUAUAUAAUUCUAAAUUAUAUAUAUUAUAUUAAGCAUACGGUUCAACCAAUUAAUCCACUUAUCCAGUCAGAUCUAUUCAUCUUAGGCUCCAUCGAAUCGUUCUUCAAUUCAAUCAUGAUAACUAUAUUUAGAAUGAUAAGCUUAAUUGAAUUAUGAUUUUUUAUAUCUUGAUCUCUCCUAUACUUGUAUUUGUAUCAAUAUAUUGACACUCUCUUUCUUAUUGUGAACAAAAGAGUCUUACUGUCAGAUAAAAGAAGUAUGAGAGGAAAAAGAGUAACAUUGUAGGAGGAAGAUCUUGUCAGAAGGAGAAGAAUGACUUUGAUAGAAACAUUCUUGUUCUGAUAAAAAAGAGAACCUUACUUGUACUUAAAGAAGCUUGAAAGGAAAAAAGAGGAACCGAAUGGGAGAAGAUCCCAUCAGAAUAAGAAUGAAGAAGGGUUGAAGGGAGAGGAGCAACAAGCGAAAAAUAAGAGGGAGAGAACCGAAUAAGAAAAUCGAAGGAAACAAAUGUUUUAGAAAGAAAUAAUAGAAAGAUCGAAUUAUAUGACAUUUGAGCAAGUUUAAGAAUAUCAUGUAAACCAAAUGAUUUUAUUUGAUUUAUGAUGUUAUACGAAAACCAGGAGUGAAUAAAUCAGCCGGUUCACUCUGAUUUUUAAACAGAAAUAUGAAGAUAUGCGAUUAUAUGGCCAAUAAAUAAGGUGGUUUUUAACAUCUUCGGUCGGCAUUCAUGCAAGUGAAUAAAUAAUAAAUGAUAGAGAAUAAUUGGAAAAAAAAUCGAACCCAUUGCAAAACUUGUGCAACAUAUGCAAGAAUCGGCACUAGUGUCACCGGUUACAAGCAUGGAAAGCAAACACUAUCUUCCCACCAUGUGGCUGUACUAUCGAUUUACCUACCACAUACACAAUUUGUACAUGCGUUUUAUGAUCCUGAUGCAGCUUCGGUUACAUUUCCGAUUAGCGAUAUUUCAUGCCAAUCCAACAGCUAGCUUGUAUGAAUUAUUUGGUUGAUUCCUGCAAAUAUUAUAUGGGAAAGAUUAAAAGCAUUCAGAAGUAUCCCCUGACCAUCUGUAUGAUGACUUCAACAAGCUUCGAAGAAACUAUAGAUUGCAAUACCUCACUGGCGGCAGACACUGAUUUGACAUUUGAAUCCAAUGUGGCAUCAGAAUUUCUUGCUUCAGACUUCUCAUUUGAAUAACUAGAAUAUCAAGAAAAAUAUAUGCUAUGUCAUGACCAUUAACAAGAAGAAGAAACAUGGUAUUAAACAUGUUAAGCAGAACAGUAAGAACAGUGAUGCUUACGUUGAAAGUAUUGUCACCCAUAUCAACUCCACGCAAUCGACCCAUAGAAGUCUCUGUUCAACUGGGAUAACACCGUAGGUAAUCAAGUGGGCAAAAGGCCAGAGCUUCCACCCUGCCUGUUAAGCCAAGACAAUUGAAGAAGUUAACCAAAGAUUUUCAUCUCCAUUGGAUCUAAAUAACAUGAACUAAAUUGUCAUAACAAACACGAAAUAUACUGCACAAAGAUGAUGUUACGACUUGUUUCUCCCACAAUUUUGAACAAACCGUUUGGUUCAAAAUUACUAUUGUCCACGAUUUCUCCGUUUACCAGUACCAAAUCAGUGAGGUGAAUUGAGGGUGACAAGAAUAUUUUACACUAGUUCCAAAAAAGCAGUUACUUGAUCCUAAGUCUGGCGGCCCAAGCUUAAGGGUGCCAAGCAACUAAGGAUUUAAAGAUUACCAUCAGUGAUUGGUCACACAAAACUCAACAGCUGUUGCAUAAACCAUUCAGUCCAAGUGUCGACCUAAGUUGAAAAUUUUACUAAUGGAGAAACCAAUUGAGUUCCUCAUCUCAAAGAAAAAACCUCUGUUUUCUAAAGAUUUCAAAAAUAGUAAUUAUUACGUUUACUACUGAAGAGAGAAGUCCUUACGGUUAGCAUUGGCCAAAACGUAGCCCUCAAUUCAGUGAAUAUAUUUGCUGGUGAUUCGAGACGCAAGAUGCCCAAUACUACGUAAUAGAUGCUAUUCCAUAUAGCGGACCAUGCAGUUUGAUCAAACACAACCUUAGCAGGUACAGUCCACCAGUCCUGGAAAGGGAAAAGAGCCUGAAACAUAGCAGCACCAAUUCAGGUUAACAGACUCUUGAAAACAAGCAGAAAUGAAAAUGCAGCGACAAGUGCCAGAGAACAUUAGAAGCUAACAACCUCACAGAAGUGGUAAUAAUAGUGAGAAAGUGACCCAUGCAGAGAAAAUCCUACAAGUCCAGAUCUGAACAUACGGGCACGGUCAAAAUCAAAUAAUGGCUUUCCUUCAUAGCACUGGAUCAAAAAGCAAGCUACUGUAAAUAAGGGCCCAUACAACUCAAAAUAUCUAUUCAUUAAUUGGGAAUUCGGGAUGACAUUCACCUGGGCAAUCCAAUCCCCCAGAGAAUAAACAAUACCACUUAUCAUCAUCUUGGCCAGAACAGGAUUUGUUUUCAAAGCUUCCUCAUAAGCAGUCCAGUUAUGCUGAGGUGCAUACCUAAGAAUCUCAUAUAGCGUCCAACCCUGAGAUGGAUCAACAAAAUAAGAUGAGACCAUGAGCUUUACAACUAGGAAUUAGCUACCAUUAAUACAAUGCAAACUACUGAGGGUAGUAGAUCAUACUAUAUAAUUAUGUUUUGUUAAGUAUUGCAUUAAAGAAAGAUUCCUGGUAACACUAACAAGAAUAUCUAAUAAACAUCUCAAGAUAACUUAAAAUGUCAAGACUAUCUACUAAAUGUCUCAAAAUAACUCCAAAUAUCAAAAUAAUAACUUCAACAACGAAGCAAACGAAGACGACAUCAAGAACAAUCAACAAGUAUAAUAGCACAGCUACAUAUUCUCUCCAAACAAAGCGGGAUAUUUGCCAUUUCUAUCUGAUAAUAAAUCAACUUUCUGUUUUGUUUUAUUUAAUAAUUUGUAUCUUAACUAGCAUAUUGUCUACUGUUUAAUGAACAUAUAUACUUUUUGUCAUAUAGGUACCAGCAUGCACAAUAUUAUAAUGAAAACUGUAGUCACUGGUGUUAAGUGCCACCGAGCUACCAGCAUUUUGCAUUUACUGAAUAGUUCUUUGAUUGAUGGAAAAAAUACUUAUUGAGCACAUGAUGAUUAAUGUCAAUGACUCCACAAGCACCUAUACCAUGGAGUUCUUGCUUAAAAAAUAGCAUUUGGAAUAACUGCCAAGAAAGCAAAAUAUUAAGAUCCAAGUUUGAACAAUGACAUAUUCUUCACAGCAUCUACUACCUACAGCAUCCUGUCUGACUCCCAAAAAGUUACAAGAGCAAGCUUCUCUUUUACUUGAAGAACAUUUGUUUUGCUAAAUAAGGAAGCAAAAAACUAGCUGCAUCAGGUGAUUGUUUCUUGAGUGUCAAACUAGGGACAAAGCAACGGUCAAAAAGAAGGCACUAAUCUAGAAUGUACCAAAGUAGUGCUUGGUGCAUGCUAUAAAGCUACUGAUGCAAUGUGUUCCCCGAAAUUUCUUGUGGUUGUCUAUUUUGACGAACAAACAAUUUUUCAGAGCACUUAAAAUUUAAAAAUCAUAGUCUUCUUCAGAAUGAGAAGCAAUAGCAAGUAAAAAUUCACUUGUCACCUAUAUAUUGUUGAUUCAAUUACUAACUAUAAAAAAAAUUCUAAAUCAAUGAAAAGUCACAAAUAACCAAAAAAUCAAAAUUGUAUAGUAACAAAAAUCAAGAAGUAUUUCAUUGAUUUUAACUGCAAUCCUAAUUGCUAAAUAUACAAAAAAUUUCUCAAGCCUUUUUACUACUCCCAAUCAAAUCAUUGUAGUAGAUCCAUUGCAACCCUUCCCAAUUUUGCUAUGUUGGUUUCCUUAGGCAAGCAUAUAAGUAGAACGUUAUCUCCAUCACUGAAACUGACUACGUGUUAUAAUCCUAAACAAUUUGCAAGGGUUCUCGAUAUGUCCUCCGAACCUGCACGAGGUAUAUUUCUAUAAGGAAAUUACACAAAGCCAAAAAGAAGAAAUUACUUAGAACUGGUUUUUUUGACAGAUUAAAACAAAGUUCCAUCGAGAACAAAGAAAUAAAACAAAAUUUCAGAUAAAUUGAGAAGAGGUACUUCACCCACAUGCCAAUACUCGCUAUCGAUAGUGAGCAGCUUGGUGAUGGCGAAGGUCCCCGCUGCAAGCACGAUUGCGGCGUUGAUCGCCCGAUCGACCAGCUUAUUCAUGUCUUCCUCUCCUAUAACAGUAGCCGAAGAGGACGAGAACCCUACGCCACCACUGCUGCCGCCACCCAUGACCCCACCACCGCUCUCCAGGGCAAAUCCCCCAACAGGACUACUAGGCCCUUGAAGAGAAUUCUCCUCCUCUUGCUGCUCUCUGCCUACCAUGGGGAUCAGUCCGUCCUGCUGGUCCGUGGAGUCGCUACUCUGCACAGGGAUGACGUCCAGGUCCUCGGUCGCCACCGACACGAUCACGGAGGAGGCUCGAUCCCUUUUCAAUUUUCCGGUGGAAGAUACGGUGUACAAGGGCAGAGAGUGGAAGAGCUGCCACCCAGAUCUGUAGUUCUGGCUGUGGUUGUUGGGCCUCGACGACGAGGAACGGGGUAGGAACAGCAUCCGGGAGGCGAUACUGUUGACGGCAGCCAUCGAUGGAUAAGAUGGAAGAAGGGAUUCGCUCUCGGAAGAAAGGGCUGAGAGAUCGGAGGAUCGAUCCGAGAGGGAUCGCCAAGGAAAAGGGGGGCGAGCUUAUAUCGUCUCCGUUAGCUCGAAGGCGACGACCACCCGAUCUUUAUUUAUUAAGAUUAAUAAUUAUUGUGCAUAUGAUUAUCCCAAAAAAAAGGGAAAAAAAAAGUACCAUAUUUAUUAUAUAUAUAUAUAUUAUUUUGAGGACCGUAGAAUUACAAACUCCAUAUCAGAUGGCCUAUCCGUCCGUCCGAUCGCCCCCAACCACCGUUAAGAUGAUUUCUCCAUAUUUAUUACACAGGAAACAAACAUGACCAUUCGUGGCCGCGAGAGAAUCUUGAACGGCCACUUCCUGGCCAUUCGUCUGUGCGGCUGGAUGAACUCUCACUGUGGAGUCUUCAUUGUCCACCUUCUCGAUGGAGUCUAUAUCACAGCUUCCUGCAAAAUACCUGUUCCACAUCUAUUAUUCCCCUUUUUUAUGUGGUGGAAGACCUAAUUUUGCCUCGGCCAAACAUUUUAUCCGAGUCAAACUCAUGUAACGUAACCUCCCGCUCAACCAUUCAGCAAAUUUCAUAUUUUUUGUGGUUCCCCUAUUACUCACCAAAUCGAGAGGGACCCACACGCAGCAGAUUCAGAGAAGAAAAUUAUGGUCACCCAUUACGAGAAGAGGUGGAUCGUUGGGUGCGCCACAUGUGGGAAACGAGCCGAGUAUGUGGUCUGGAGUCAGCCCACAGGUAUCCAAUAGUCUGAGCUCACACGUAUCAAUUGAUCUGGACAAGUCUUUUCCGUCUGUUUUAUGAGUAAUAAAACUAAUUUCUGCACUCGAUUUAUGAGGAAAUGCUAAUUUAGAAAGAAUUGCAGAUGUAAUAUGAUGAUGUUCACAUGCAACGCAGGUUUCAAUGGUGCGGUAAAAUGAUCACUCUUUUGCUACUGUGUCUCAUGUGAUGUGAUAAUGAUAUGGCAGAGCACAACAGCAUCACAUGCCUGCCAUGUUACUGUCGCCUAUCUGACAGUGAUGCAUGCUCAAACAGGACUUUGUUUGAAGGACACAGCCAUGUAUUGGCGCCAGUCGGUGCAUGAAUGCGAUUUAUAUAUGCACGCGACUUCAAACUUCAAUGCCUUUGCAGUACAUAACUUUAUUCAGUUGUACCACAUCAACACUUGUACUUAAUAUGCGUAUGUAAUUCUUAACGAAAUAAACAUUGUUUCAGUUAAAGAGCUUUUAAAUGACAAGGAGAAAGCUGAGCUUGUCUCAUGGAGAAAGAAAAGACAAACAGUUCCAGUUAGACUUGGUGAUACCUUCGAGCACGAUGAUGAUGAUGAUGAUGAUGAUGAUCUGCGGAUGUGAUGAAGAAGAGAAGCUUCCUAUGUCUUUUAAUUCUUCUCUGGAUUAGAGGAAGAUGAAGCACUCCAGGGAGACGAGGGGGUUCUCCAGCGACUCCGGCUGCUCUCCUUCGGACACCACCACGCCGCCAUCUACCGUGCCCUCACGCUGCCCGCAGAAUCUCCUUUCUCCCUCGUCCGCCGAGAUCUGCUUCAUCGACCCUUUUACCCUAGCCGUCGCUGCCUCCGGCGCCCUGCAUUGUCCCCCUCUCUGCCGCAACUCCGCCGCUCGUUCCGCCGCCGGGGACACCGAGCGCCUGUUGGAUCUCUCGCCUGGAUCUCGCGUGGCCCGAGCGCUGGCCUCUCUGGCGGAGUUCGUCCUACCGAUGGCCGCGUGUUCGGACCUCCGCCUUGCCGGCGACGGGGAGGAUCUCCCGCUGCCGCAGCCAACAGCCACGCUCCGGUCCCGUCUGCAGGCGAACUCGCCGGAAACGGAGCGCUUUUUCUGGUACUUGACCGGCGAGCGGUCAUCCCUCGCCGCCCUCCUUCCGGUCUCCGUCGCAGCUGCUCGUCGCUUCUCAGCCGGAGUGGUGGGGCCCGAUAGAGUCUCGCUCUUCGCGCUGAUGCUGCAGACCUCGGAGGCGUCCUCGCAUCUGGUGUCGCAGCCGUUGCUGCUGCGGUCUGCGAGAGGAACAGCCUCGUCGUUGAUCUCCACCUCCUUCGGAGUGGCCACCUGAUCUGCCCUAAUUGGCAAUGGGGUUUGCCUCGGCGGUCUGGGAGUCUCGGAGAGGACCUCUUUCACCGUCUCCUCGACAUCGGCAUCUGGCAGAGGUGGUAAGCUCGCCCCCGCGGGGUAGCGAGGGGUGGUGGUGCGUGCCGCCGCCUUCGCCUCCUGCGUUUUGGUACUACUGCUGAAGCAGCCGCCCAUCCUCCAGCUAGAGUGGCAUUCCCCCUCACCUGAAAGCGAAGAGCCUCGUUUACCACCGGGAGCCAACCCAAAUUCUCGAUGGUGUUCGCUGUUUUCUUCCCCCUUCCUUUUCUAUCAGCUUUCCCAGAUCAGUGGUUGGGGGAGUAAUGGUUGAAUGGUACAUUCACUACAAUGGUCGUUGGGAGGAAGAAGGCGCUGCUUAUGGUCCCAACUCCCAAGAAGGAGCGAGGGAGACAGGAGAUGGACGCGACUAGAGGAGGGAGAUGGUUUCAAUGCACUAUUGUUAUUGCAACAUAAAUACUUCCCACCUGCUUUCUGAUUUGCUUCCUUUUUGCUUUUUUGGCUUUUGGUCGAUUUGUUUUUUUUCUUUUUAUUAAUAUAAUAAAAUAAAAUUGAAUACAGAAUUCAAAUUGACAUGUUGUUCGAUUAAGAUUUAUUUUAGUCGCUGAUAUCAUGUGAUGCAACGUGGCUUCGUGACGCAAAUGCCUGCUUGUUACCGAUCGAGAGUUGUGGCAAUCGAUUUAGUGGAUGGCAUCAGAGUCGCCCACUGUCCAUUGGUUCCUCGAAGCGAAUAAGCCACGUGUCAGUUAUAUAUAUAUAUAUAUAUAUAUAUAUAUAUAUAUAUAUAUAUAUAUAGAGAGAGAGAGAGAGAGAGAGUGAAAAUUUUCAAAAAAAAACCUCCUGAUUCUUUUUCAUCUUGAUUAAAACUUUUUUAUUUAUUUUCAUGAAAUAUCCAUAUUUUAAAAAGAUGAAAUUGGCUUUAAUUUUCGUUUUGUCGAUCAUUACCUCCGCACUAUCGCCUAUGUGUAUUUUUGCUCUGCUCUAUCGUUGGUGUCCUCAUUCGUACUCUCUUGUUGAUAUCCUUGUUCACUACCUCUUAUGUGUAUUUUUCCUGUUGUCAUCUUUAUUAGUACUCCUUCGAUGUCAUCCUCACUCAUAUGUCCCCCAUCCUCAUUCUUACUUAUGCACCCUUACCCUCAUCAUCAUCUUUGUUGAUAGGUGGGGAGAGUGAAGGAAUCGGAGACGACACAAUGACAAAGGAGAGGAUAAAAACAUUAAAACAUAAGAGGGAGAGAAAAACCAUACGGAUAAAGAGGGCGAAGGCAACAAGAGAGUCAAGGUGGACAAUGACGUCGCAGAUGAUGGCACUCCAAUCGAUAAUGGGGGUGGCAAGGUUGAGAAUGAAACAAAAGAUAAUGAGAGAGCAGGAAGAAAGCAUGAGACAAAGGCGACGACAAAGAACAAAGAUUACGAACAAUUUUAUUUUUUUAUAAAUAAUAAGCAUUCUAUAAGAAUAAAUGAAAAAUAAGACUAUAAUCGGGAAAAUAUAUAUAUAUAUAUAUAUAUUUUAAAUUUAUCACACAUAUAUAUGGUAAAAUUUGAACAUAAAAAAUAUUUAAAUAUUUUUUUUUGUUACUCAAAAUAUUUGUCCUAAUUGUAAGUAGUUAGGAAAAAUUGGCUAUAAAUCAAGGUACAAUUAUGUAUGUAUUUUUUCUCUUACCAGUAUCUAAUCCAUUUUAGGAGUGACUUGAAUAUUGGAAAGUCCUCGUUACAAAAUUUGUCUAACAUCAAUCUUAAUAUAGGUUGACAUUACAUUACAUGUUAGACGUUAGACAUCAAUAAGCACAUGUGACAAGUCAAAAGUCUCCCGAGGCAAGUUAGAUCCAAACUAUGUUAGGUUGGUUAAUACUCAAUGUUUACCAUUAGUAUUAAACAAGCGACUCAAUGAAGAUGCUAUACUCCCUGAUAACACUUUCACUCAUGUUGGGCAACCGCAAUUCUUCUUCUUUGUUACGACAUCUUGCUCCACUCAUGCUCAUUUUAAAUAUCUAUAAUUAUUCAAUAAUCCUAGUUUAUCUAUGCCAUUAGGGACACCAACUCGUAUCAUAGUCCAAGUGGAAGAUUUUUUCUACUUAACAUAAUAGGCCCAAGAAUUAACAAGGAUGAUAUAGUUUGUUGUAUCUUUUAUCCCAUGAUUGGCCCAACUUAUAACUACAUAGACUCCCUUGUAACAAAUCAUUAUCCUUUGUACCAAUGGAUGUUCUAUAGUAUGGUUGAAGGAAUAUAAUUGUGAGGUAUCGAGAUAAUAAGAUUGUAGUGGUUGGAGACCGAAAUUAUAAAAUGACACAAAAGAGGUAAAUCUCAAUUUGAGUUUUGAAUUUUUGAUAAAUAUUUUUAUUUAUUUCUUGCUUAUAAAACAUUCAAAUAUAUUUAAAAAAAAUAUAAUAUUGUUUUUGUGGUUAAUGUUGAAAUGUUUCAAUUAUAACCUUUGAGUUCAACUCUCAAAUAUACAUUUUAUUUAUUUAUAUUAUUAAUAAGAAUAUAUUAUAUAAUAUAAAUAACAUAAACAAAACUAUAAUUGAUAUGAGUGGAGAGUACUCUCCCUGUAUUUAUUUUAUAAUCGUUGGAGUAAUAAAAAAAUAAUUUAUUAUUGUUUAUUGUCUCGUCCUCAUCCUAUUAGGGAUGGGCAUAAUUGACACACUUAUGCAUGCAUCAAACUCCAAUCAAACUCAUCCCAAAUGAGUUACGUUGAUUUAAUUUUAUUUUCACCUUUUUAAUAUUCGGUAUGUUUGAUUUAAUUAUCCUUUAAAUACCUUUCACAUAGGUUUGAGUAGUAAAGUAUGAGUUAAAAUGCAGUUCGCAAGUAACGAGUCAGAUUCAAAUUUGGACAUGAAUGUAAUCUGUGUUUACCUACAUGUUUCGAUCUGAGCCUCUUUAACUUUAAAGUCACCUCAUAUACAGCGUAUGUUUGACCGGAUCAAGAUCGUUCUAGUCCAAUCUCGUUCUUUAAAUCGGAUCAGGAUCGCCAGUUGCAGUUUAGUGGUUUUGGUCGCAUGUGAUACGGCUCGACUCGGGGACCUUCUACUUGCGAUCGCAUGUCCGUCGCGCGAAAGCUUCCAUCGCGGACGACAUUUUCCUCUCCGAAGUCAGAUCUGCUCGCUCUUCUCCUCUCCUCUCGGCGCUCUUUCCAGUCGGCGAAUUCUUGCCCGCGGUCAUCCGAUUCUUCUGUUCUUUCCGCUCGAUUUAUCUUCUGAUUCGUGGAUCACGACGGAUUUCUUGCCCUGACGGUCUGAGAUCGAGUCGUGAAGGGGUAGUCGAGGCGGAUCUCCACAGGACUCUUCGUCAUGGCGGCCGCCUCCGCCGCUUCGGGGUUUAUCAUCCGCUCCUUGGAGGCCAUGCUCAAGGAGUGCAUGGGAAAGAAGUACCCCGCCCUGCAGAGCGCUGUGCAGACUUGUCUAGGUCGGUACAUCCCCAAGUCAGUUUUUACAUUUUUUCGUAUUCAAUCCUUACUUUAUUUUGUCUUCCUUUAGUAUUCCGAAGUCGUUGCCUGUAGACCUGAUCUAUCUGUCUACAUUACCUGCAAUAUUUUGAGUUCGCAUUGAAAAAGAACCCAUAGAAAAUUGACUGAAGUAUAAUCGGAUAAAAUGUUCCUGGACAUAUAGAAUAUCAAGCAAGGCUUGUGAUUUCAUAAUAAGACGAUCGAGCAAGAUGGAAUCCACAUGAUUAAGGAAAACGAAGAGUAAGCAAAAAUCGAGGAAAAUAUUAAUGAAAUGAAAAAAAAAUAAAAGUGCUUUCGGAUGUCUAGAGGGAAUUUGCAGUUGAAUGUAGUACGUUAGGAGCUAGUCAAAGGGAAGGAAAGAUAUUCUAUGAAGUAUGGCAAAGGUGUGGGAAAACAUAGGGCUUUUGGAGAUAGAAACUAACUGGAAUAGAAGAAUAAAAACUCAUAGUUGGAAUGUUGGAUGAAAUUUAAUGCUUUUGGUAAUUUUACAAUAAUUUAGGUACUGAAGAUGGAGAGAUCAUCUCAGGACUUCAAAAAGGAUAAAAGAAAGAGUGGGGAUUUAGGUAAUGUUAAGUACAUAGAGGAUGAAGACUGUAGAUGUUUGAUCGAAGUUGCUGCCACUAAAAGGAAUACUGGGCCAAUUUGAGGAGUUAUUUUAUAUAACAAUCUAGAUGACACUUUCAUAGUCAGAGAGUAUGGUAGGAGUAGGACCUGUAUUAAUACUGAAAAAAGUCAUGUUAACAUUGGAAAUACCGCAGGAAAAAGCUGGUUGUGCUAUGAAAAUGCUUAAAAGAUAAAUGAAUAAUUUGGCAUACUCAUUCAAUAGAACCCUGUAACUAGAGGUAUGCCAGCUGCAUGGGGGAAGGUAAUACAAUCCAAGUAUGGUAAAUUAGAAUUACAGUCAAAUUUGGGUGUACUUUAGGCAUGGUUUUGACUAAGUUUUGUUUAUUCAUGUUUUCAAGGUUAUAUUAUACCAGCUCUGCCCUUAUGGAGACUCAGAUUAUGUAUUGAAUACUUGAAUUUUUAGGAAAUAUAUGGUAGGUACUAAAGUCAUAUUAAGACCUGUUUUUGUUAAAUAAAGUCCACUUAGAUCUUUUAAAGUUGAAUUUGAAUUUGUCUGUCGUGGAGAGGACAAGUCCACUUUUAUAUAUAUAUAUAUAUAUAUCAUUAAACGGUGGUGAGAGAAUGCAACAUAUUGGUGGGCUAAACUUGACUUGCCCUAAGUUGUGUUUUCGUUCUUGUGCAUAGGGAUGGCAUAAACAUAUAUGGCUAGGAAACAUGAAAAAUGGAUCUAAUUAGAGAAGAGACGUUGGCAUGGUUGUAGUGAAUAGCACACCAGGUGAGAAGUUGGGGAAAAUGUAAAGAAGAAGGAGAUUAUGGAAAUGGGCAGCAAUUACCUAAAAAUCUUUUUGUCAGUUCAAAUUGUUUCUCUUAUUGAAACUGAGAAUUUUACUUGGUUGUUUUAUCUUAACAUUUAAACUAUAAUUCAAGCUGAGAAUAUUUGUAAUCGAUUGUUUUUAUCUUCCACUUUCAGACAACAUGAAAGAGACCAAGCCAGAGUUGACUUCUGAUGAUCAUAACCAUGCAACAACUUUGGCAGGGGCUGAGAGGUUGCUAAAUUUCUUAUUAUGUGCUUAAGUUUUACAUUAACUUAUGCAAUGUUUCUAUUGGGAUCAAGAUGGCUUUCUGUUUCUGCUAUAAAUAAUUAUCUUUUAGAUACUAGUGGAUUUCACACAUUCCUGAUAUCAGUCAUGAUACCUUCAAGGUUGAUGUGAGCCUCGAUUUGACAUAUUUUGUAGGCACUUAGUUGGUUACUUCAUUAAGUGUUCAACUAUGCUUUUUUUUUUUUUGCAAUGCGCUUUCACCAAGUUCUACAGACAUUAAUCAGUUAUUAUUGUCGCAUAGCAUUGGAGCUGAAGGUGCUAUAGCAGUGAAAGAAGGGGAAGCUCCAGUUGCAGGUACUGAAAAGGAUGUAACCAUGAAUAUGUCCCAAGAGACGAGUGAACCUAUUAUAGCAGCUUUAGCAAGUGCUGGCCACACCUUAGACAGGACCCAAGCUGAGCUUGUCUUAAAGCCACUGAGGCUUGCAUUUGAGAUGAAGAAUAUAAAACUUUUGGAGCCUGCACUUGACUGUCUUCAUGUAUGUUGCCCUUGUUGACUCAAAAAAUUCUGUGCCUUUUCUUUCCUAGAAGUUGUGUUACAGUUUUGCAGAAACAAGUGUGAAUUUUGGUCCAACAUCCAUAGCAGGCUUAUUGAUGCACAUAUACUCAUGUUUGUUUAUUGCAUAUAAGUUUGUUUUAUUCUUCCUAUAAUUAUUUAAAUCCUGGAUUAGCAAAUGAUCUUUCAUUUUGAAUUCUUUUUGUCUGCUAAUGGUUUGUCUAAAACAUGUUCCUUAUCUUGAUCCUUUAUGUUGGAUGAUUUUUUAUUUUUGAAAUUUUUUGCCUGCUAAUGGUUUGUCUAUUUAGGAUUGAGAUGAAGAACAGCUUGUCUCAUGCACUAGAUUCUGACUGCUUUAACAACUAUGGUGUGGUUUGAAAUAGCAUUUAUUAUGUUACUGAUGAACAUGCCUACAUACACAUUCUUUUCUAUUAUAGCUUAUGCUGUUAAAAGAUGCAGGUCCGACGACUAGUUGUUCUUGUUACCUUUAGUCAUUGCCUUACAGCUGAUAGGUCAUAUCUUUUCCAUACAGUUGCUUCUAUUGCACAACUAUAGAUGUGUCACAAUUAUAGUUUCUUCUUAUUCAUAGUAAGUUGGCUUUUCUCCUUUUUCUUUGCCUCUUUUGUGACUUAAGUUUCCUUUGCUUGAAAAUUGUGGUCUUGUGAGGAAAAAGGAUGAGAACAGGCAAUGGAUAUGCAUCGUAUUAGUCCCACAUCCCUUGUUCCUACAUGUAACAUUUGGCAGCAUGUCAAACCCUUCAUCUUCAAAAUUUAGAACCUUGAUCUGCUUGAUGAAAUAAUCAAAAUGUUUUCUUGACAAAACCACUAUAUCAAUACAAUUCUAGCAUGUGACUAAAUCCCUAUACCAUAACUUCCCCUUGUUCCUAUCCUUAUCUUUCCUUUCUUUUAUCUUAUUGUCUUAUUGUGCCCUUCUCUGUACUUUAUCCAUUCCUUUUGUUCCUUAGGAAUUUGUUUUCUCUUCUUCUUUGACUAGCAAGAAUGUGACAAUCAUUCUCUUCUUCUUCUUUGUUAUCUGUAGCCACUAUAUGUUUGAAGAGGCCAGAGCUUGGUACAAUGGCAAGGUUGCCUGUUUGUGACCAAGGAAAUGCUUGAGUCUCUGAAACAACAUCUGUAAAUAAUAUUUGGAGGCAAGAAUACAUACGUUUACCCUUUCUAGACCUUGCAUUAUUGGGAGCCUUGUAACUAGAUCUGUCUUUUUUAUUUUUACUUUUUAUCCUAGUCAGACAUUUGUAAUGUGCACUAAUGUCUCAUGAUAUACAAAGCUGAGGUUAGCAAGUAACACCCUUAGAACUUACAAAAGAUUUUCCAAACUUAAAUGCAAGCGUAAAGAAUUGAAAACCUCCUGUCCAAGAUUGCUACCAUUCCUAAGAGCAAGCAAUCUAAGUAACAAUGAUGACAAACAUUAAGGGAACAGAGCGUCCUCUUUUGGAACCACAGGGAUAUUUACUGGUGCCUGCAUCACAUGAACCUUGGUUCUUUGCCAUUUUUAUCUUUUAUAUUUAGUGCACAUAACGUACAUGCAUGUGCUCUACGUUCUGGUGGCAUGUGAUGAAUGUUUAAUCCUCACAUGAAACCUUUGCAUAUGCAGUGCAGUUUUUUCUUUAUAGUCCAUUUUCCCUCUUCGACUAUUCUAUUUUUCUCUUGUUGCCAUGAACUUGGACUAUUAUGCACCUGAUGCUUAUAGUACUUAUAGUGUUUCUAAUUAAAUUCUCAUGGUGGCAGAAACUUAUAGCUUAUGAUCAUUUAGAGGGUGAUCCUGGACUCGAGGGUGGUAAAAAUGCUUCACAAUUUACCGAUGUUCUCAAUAUGGUCUGUGGUUGUGUUGAUAACUCUUCGUCUGACAGGUACAUAUUAUUUUUCGAAUUUGUUUCUAUUAUCUAGAUAUAUCUUCAAAAUGAAAUCUUUUAACUUGUGUUUUGACACUCAUAUAAUUUUGCAGUACCAUAUUACAAGUUUUAAAGGUGCUUCUCACUGCGGUAUCAUCCACAAGGUUCAGAGGUAUAAGAUUGUAUUUUCUGCUUUUGUUUUUCAAAGAGGGAUGUGAAUUACUUUCAUGACCAUUUCAAAAACAUGCCUGAGUUGUGCAAGAUAUAAAAUCUAAUUCUUUGCUGAAAACUUUGUUGUAUAAGCUUGUUUGUAUCCUUCUCUUGGGUUCAAAUUCUGUAUAUGUAGGUUAUGUAGUGAACUUACAUAUUUUUCAAGCAUGUUGGUGCUUGACUGAAAUUCUCACUUUUGUCAGGAUGUAUGUACCAUAUCUUUCUUCUUAUUUUUCCAAAAUUUUUAAAAUUGCACAUCAUUAAUCAAUCAUACUCAGUUUCUUAAAAUUGUACUGCAUCAAUAUGGCUGGAAAACAUUGUUCUCCCAGAAGAUUACAUUUGAGGAAUAAUUAGACUUUCAUGAUGGGUGAAAAUUCAGUUACAUUCUUCUUAAAGAGGCAGGUGAAAGGCAGUCCAAUAUUUUUCAUGGUCACUAUUUUUGAGAUUACUGCUAACAUAAGUGGUAGAAAGUGUGGAAAUUUAAGCUAAAAGCCUAGAAUAUCAGAAGAGUUGAGAGCUUAUUAAUCUAAAUCUGAAUUCCAUGUAGAGCACCUAAUAUUAGUCUUAUCUUAUCUGAGAUACCAAAUUUCCUGAACUAGACAUAAAAAACAUGCAAGUUCUCAACUUUUUAGGUCAACCACAGGGCACCUAAAAUGCUGAAAAACAACGUUCAAUCCUUGCUUAUGCUGGUAAUUCGGUAAUCCAACAAUUUUUGUGGUAUGAUAUGAUUGUUUAAUUCGAUGUAGUGGACAAUGUUUUCAAAAGGUGCUCAAGCACUUGCUUAGACGGUCGGGCGAGGCGAGGUCCUCGCCUCAUUUGACCGCCUUGCAAAACAUCAAUGCAAGGCAUUUCAAUGAAGCAUCGCUCGAGCACUCGCCUGAGCCUAGGCGUCAGCCAUCAAGCGCCUCGUGCGAGCGCCUGAGCCAAGUUGGGUCGGGGUUUGAGCAGGGUUCGAUUGAACGAGCAAGUUGGUUCAAUUGAACCAGGGGUAAUUACAGAUUACCCCCUAUAAUUAGGCCCCUUUAGCAUUCUGGUCUUUACAAUUUCAAAAGUUACAUUGGUAUUUCUAUACAUGGUUAAAAAGAUAAUUUUAUAGGGCUGAAAAUCAAGAAAGAGAAAAGGGUUUUGUUGGAGCAACGGGGUUAAAUGUUUCACUUUUGUAAGUACAGAGAUCUCAAUAUAAUUUUUGAAAGUAUAGGGACUGAAAUACUAAAGGUAGCUAAUUACUGAGGGUAAUAUGUAAUUAGCCCAUUGAACCAACUACUGUACCCUAACACAAACCUGAAAGCGAAACCCUACGUUUGUCGUCGCCACCUUCACCUACUGUUGCCCUACGUCUGUCACUGCUGCCUUUAUCCACAGCUUCGUCCACUGUUGCCUUCAUCCGCCACCCCCUCCUCCCACCUUCUUCAAUAGUCGCUAGUUCUCCUCUUAGUCCAUUGUUUCUCAUUUGGAUUAACUUGCUGCAGUGCACCUUGUUGAGGCGGUGCACUAUUACUCUGUUAGGAGUUAGAAGUUAGAACUGUUUAGCACGAUACUGGAAACCCCAUUUAGCAUAUGUCUCCAUCAAUAGAACCCUUUAGCAUAUUUCAUUGAAUUUGAUGUUAAACUUUUAUUUUUUAAUAUUUUUGUUAUUUGAAGAUGGACAAUGCAAUUUGGUACUUUGUAUGCUUUCAAUUUGAUUUAUCAUUUUGUUUUUAUGAUUAUAUUUAUAAAUCACAAUAUAUAUUUUUUAAAUUUUAAUAUUCUGUAAUGUUUUGCUUCGUCGGGUGGGUGCCUAGGCGAGCGCCUAGCACUUCGGGUAUUUGGGGCCUUGGUACUUUUUAAUGCCUAGCACUUUUUAAAACACUACUAGUGGAUUUUUACAUACAUUUAUGCAUAAAUACAUACAGACGUAUGGACUGCUUGAUCUAAAUGAAACAUUCCACAUGCCAUGGAUAGUUGGAAUUUGUAGCUGCAUUUUUAUCUGGUGAUUCAUUUCUUGCAUUUGUAUAAGAAGCUGUAACUAAGCAAUUGAGCUUGGGUUAGUCAUUUUCCGAUCAUGGUUUGUAUUCUAUGUUCAUGCAUGUGUCUUUGUUGUCUAGAUUAUGACUCUUUCCUUAACCUUUUAUGAUAUCCUUCUCAGAGGUUUUGGCUGGUCUUUUGGAGGUUAGAUCUCUGGAAGUUUUUUGAGGUUAAAAUUUAAAAAAUUAUCUUAGAGGGCAGCCUUUGGUAGAACAUUAAGGUUGUUGUUUUGUGAUAUGGGAGAAUAAGGUUUGAGUCAGACAAGCUCUCGAUGUAAGGUUGCAUAUAUCGACCCUCCCAGACUCUGCAUAGGCAGAAGUCUAGGUACAUAUUUUUUUUGUGUUUUAAAUGUUUCAAUGCAUCAUAAGUGUGCCUCAAACUGGAUAAUUUCCUUUUAGUUGAUGAACUGGUAGGUUAUAUGCAGGCAUGGUUUGUCUUUAGAUGUUUAAUCUGUACUACACUGUCAUGACUGUGCCACUAGUUAUCAAUUUUGAUAAAUUAGUCUACAUUCUUUAAACACAGUGCAUGGAGAACCUUUGCUGGGAGUGAUUAGAGUAUGCUAUAACAUUGCUCUUAACAGGUAUGCCAAUCAAAUUCUUCCUUAGAAACUGUCAAUUCAUUAAAUAUUAUCUAAUGCAUACCGAUCUCUAAACUUUUUCUGUAGCAAGAGUCCAAUAAAUCAGGGAACUUCAAAAGCAAUGUUGACCCAAAUGAUCAAUAUUGUCUUUAGGCGAAUGGAAAUUGAUCAGGUUGGAUUCUUUUAAUCUUAUUUGAUCUUACUGAGUUGUUUAAGAAAGAAGAGGGCUUCGUACAGGAAAAAAUGAUUUAGAAUAUCAACUAUUUUCUAUGGGUGUUUAGGUUUCUGUGUCAUCCAGUAGUUAUGAGCAUGCUGAUAUUCCUUCAGCUAGCUACACAACCUCUGAUAAUGUAGAAAUGUCUAGAGACGAAGAUGAGAAGAAAACUUCAACAGCAGAUGCAUUAUCCAAGAGUCACACAAAUGAAACAUCUCCAUCUUUUGAGGAACUUCAGAAUUUGGCUGGUGGUGCAGACAUCAAGGUGCUCCAUUUGUUUAAAAUUAAUAUCCAAGAUCUGUUAAAAAAUUGAGAUUGUUUUACUGAUUAGUUGGAAUUAUCUACACUGGGGUUUCUUGUUUAUUAUAUCUUAUUAUAAGAUACAAUCUGCAGGGUCUAGAGGCCGUUCUCGAUCAAGCCGUUCAACUUGGAGAUGGAAAGAAAAUCUCACGGUAUAAAAGAAAUUCUCAACUGUGUAAAUAGUUUUAGCCUUCAGUUGUGGUUUAUUUCUGUUGAAUGUAACAAAUUCAUCACUCUUAUCUUAUUUCAGAGGGAUUGAUCUUGACAGCAUGAGUGUGGUGCAACGUGAUGCUCUGUUGCUGUUUCGCACACUUUGCAAGGUCUAAAUUUGUGAAAAUGUUCUGAUGUCACAGUCUAUUGGCAGUCUAUCUUCACAUGUUGAAGUCUAUAUAUGCAGAUGGGGAUGAAAGAAGAGAGCGACGAGGUUACUACAAAGACAAGGCUUUUGUCUCUUGAGCUUUUGCAGGUUAGUUUAUUGUGGACUUUGUAAAGGCAAGAAAGCUUCAUCUGCCAAUUUUUUUUUCUCCAAUUGCUUUACUCAAUUCAUUUUUCCUCUUUGCUCUUUUAAGUUUUAAACAUGUUUUCAUAGUUUGUACUUUGACUGUUUGACAUACCCAUGACUUUCUUUGCAGGGUUUACUGGAAGGAGUGAGCCAAUCCUUCACCAAAAAUUUCCAUUUUAUUGACUCUGUUAAGGCAUAUCUUUCUUACGCGCUACUACGGGCUUCUGUUUCUUCUUCACCAGCCGUAUUUCAGGUUAUUUAUGCACUAUUACUUGUUGCUGCUUGUCCUGUUCAUUAUCUAAUGCUUGCUUAUUUACUGAUCGUUGGGAAUUGCUGGUAACUAGAUUUGCAUAGAAGCUGAAGUUACAUGGUUUUUUAUUUGUUCAAGUAGUUACUCUUUUUUAUGCUAAAUCUUGUUAUGCAGCAUGCAACUGGAAUAUUUGCAGUUCUUUUGCUCCGUUUUAGGGAAAGUCUUAAGGUAUGUUACUUUGAUAUGGUCAUGGUGACUGUCCCCUCAUUUAUCAUGUUGAUCUUAUAUAUACUAUUUUUCAGGGAGAAAUUGGUGUUUUUUUCCCUUUGAUAAUAUUAAAACCCUUGGAAAGCAAUGAGAGUGCUCUCGGCCAAAGAACAACUGUUCUCCGGUGAUAUGUUAUUUUCAUGUUAAAAAAAUGUUGUUUUCCUUAUCUUUCACAUUGUAAUAGUUUUAUUUUCAGUUCAUUGUAAUAUUAUGUUGUAUUCCAUUGUUGGCCAUGUAGCAUUUGCUCAUGCUGCAAGCUUUGUUAUCUUGCUGAUGGAAACUUAUAAUGGAUUCUCUCUUAGGAUGCUCGAGAAAGUAUGCAAGGAUUCACAAAUGCUUGCAGAUAUAUUUGUUAACUAUGAUUGUGAUCUUCAGGCACCAAACCUUUUUGAACUCAUGGUAAAAUCCAAGCGAGUUGUACUGAUGGCUUGGAGUUAAAGCGUGGCAUCUUUGUAAUACAUUCUCAUUUAUGCUGAUCUAAGCAGGUGAAUGCUCUGUCACGAAUAGCACAAGGGACUCUAACUACAGAUCCCAGCUCAGUUGGUUUGAUGCAGGUUGCAUCUGCUAAAGGCUCAUCCCUUCAGGUUUCCUCUUUUUCUUUAAAUAAAAACCAUUGUUUUUUUACUGUUUGUCUAAUGUUUUCAUGCAAGCGUUUAAUCUUUAUUUCUAUUCUCAACGUCUAUCAAUUUAUUUAUUUAUUGCAGUGCUUGGUUAGUCUGCUGAAAUCAUUGGUUGAUUGGGAGAAGCUAAGAAGAGAAUUCAUUAAGCAUUAUAACAUCGUUCGAUCCCCUGAAGACGAUGUUUUGGCUAGAGAAUCUGUUACAGGUAAUGAGCUGAAGAACCAGGAUGAUGGACUGAACCAAUUUGAGAAGGCUAAAGCUCAUAAAUCCACGAUGGAAGCAGUUAUCUUAGAGGUAACUAGGAUAUUGUCAGUCAUGUAUAUUUAAAAGCAAUUUAUGCAAGAAAAAUGGAAUUAUAUCCUCUGUUCUAGUUUCGUAAGGGUUUAGUUUUAUUUUUUAUGGUUAAAUAUUAACCGGUUCCUUUGUUUCUAGUUCAAUCGUAAACCGGCAAAAGGGAUAGAAUUACUGUUGUCUAACAAGUUGGUUGAGGAUAAGGCUUCUGCAAUAGCCCAGUUCCUGAAAUGCACUCCAAGUUUGGAUAAGGUUGUCUUCUAUGUCAAUUCUUUUUGUUUAUGAUAAAAGUGUGUUUAAUUUCUUUAUAUUUCAGGUUAUGAUUGGUGAAUAUUUGGGUCAGCAUGAGGAACUUCCCCUUGCUGUCAUGCAUGCUUAUGUUGAUUCCAUGAAGUUCUCAGGGUUAAAGUUUGAUAUUGCAAUUCGUGAGUUUCUGAAAGGAUUUCGACUUCCUGGAGAAGCACAGAAAAUUGAUCGGAUCAUGGAAAAGUUUGCUGAACGGUAUAGUUGUUAAUUUGAGAUGCUCUUACAGUUGCCACUUUUGAUUAUUUAGCUAGCUGAUGUUUGUUUUGCAGUUACUGUGCUGAUAAUCCAGGACUUUUCAAGAAUGCAGAUACUGCCUAUGUUCUUGCCUAUGCAGUUAUAAUGUUAAAUACAGAUGCACACAAUCCAAUGGUUUGGCCAAAAAUGUCCAAAUCCGAUUUUAUACGCAUGAAUUCUGCAAGUGAUAUAGAAGAGUGUGCUCCAAAGGAGAUUUUAGAGGAGAUAUAUGAUUCAAUUGUUAAAGAAGAGAUAAAGAUGAAGAAUGAUGCACCCAGUGCAUCUAAAAGCAGCAGACUGAGGCCAGAAACAGAAGAGAGAGGUCAUCUUGUUAAUAUUCUUAAUUUGGCUCUUCCUAAAAAACAGUCAGAGAUUGAUACCAAGGCAGAGAGUGAAAAAGUUAAACAGCAAAUACAGGCUCUUUUUAAAAAUAAAGGUGAAAAAAGGGGUGUUUUCUACACAGCUCAACGGGUUGAACUGGUUAGACCAAUUCUUGAAGCUGUAGGCUGGCCUUUGCUAGCAGCAUUUUCUGUCACGAUGGAAGAAACAGACAACAAGCCAAGGGUUAUUCUUUGCAUGGAGGGUUUCAGAGCUGGCAUACAUCUAACACGUGUUCUUGGGAUAGAUACACUGCGUUAUGCUUUCCUAACAUCCUUAGUACGGUAUGUUUCUGCAUGAGGUUCUAUUGCAAUAUUGUGUGUUUUAAGUUACCAUCAUAAAUCUUAUAUCAUUUUGUUCCUUCUUAUGAGUAUCAAUGACAAAUUAUACCAAUAAGUGAUGCAAUGUUUUACAAAAAUCUGCAUGCAGAUUUACCUUUUUGCAUGCUCCAAAGGAGAUGCGUGGUAAAAAUGUGGAGGCAUUACGCACCCUGCUUGUUUUAUGUGAUACGGAUACAGAAUCACUACAAGACACCUGGAAUGCUGUGUUGGAAUGUGUUUCAAGGCUAGAAUAUAUCACUUCAACUCCGUCUAUUGCUGCAACGGUAAUGCAGGGCUCAAAUCAAAUAUCUAAGGAAGCAAUUCUGCAGUCUCUUAGAGAGCUAGCUGGAAAACCAGCAGAGCAAGCUUUUGUAAAUAGUGUAAAAUUGCCUAGUGAUUCAGUUGUGGAGUUCUUCACUGCUCUUUGUGGUGUAUCUGCUGAAGAACUGAAACAAACACCUGCUCGUGUCUUCAGCUUACAGAAACUUGUUGAGAUAAGCUACUAUAAUAUGGCUCGUAUUCGGCUGGUACUUGACGUCCUUCAGUACUUUAAUGUUUCUAUGGUAUUUAUGAUUCUACAAUGCCUGCAUUGAUAUACUAAUAUAUUGGAAUUUAGUAGUCCUAAUGCUAUUACAAUAGUGAAUUUCAAUCUCCAAUGUCGGCUGUCAAACUCGAAAAUAUGGCAACAUUACUUUAAAAUGACAGUUUUGCAACACCAUGUAUUUAAUUUAUGUUUGUAAUAGGUUAACAUGGCACAUAUAUAGAUUUUUCUUUUUUACUCGGUGGCAAUAGGAUAUAAUCAUUGCUUGGUGGAAUAGUGCAUAAUCAUAUAGGUGAGCAAAAGAUAGUUCACUGCAUAUUUUGGUUCUUAUUUUCUGGUGCAUUACAUUGUCAGAUGCAUGCCAAAAUCUAGAUAUCUUUGUAUUGAUUAUAAAGUUGUCUUGUUGCAUUCUUUUACAAUGGAUUUUUUUGUGAUUAUUCUUGAUUUUAACUUGUGAUAUAUUCCAUUGUUCAGGUCUGGGCUAGAAUAUGGUCUGUCUUGGCUCAGCAUUUCAUUGCUGCCGGUAGUCACCAUGAGGAAAAAGUUGCUAUGUACGCCAUUGAUUCACUUAGACAACUUGGUAUGAAGUAUUUGGAACGUGCUGAGCUCACCAACUUCACCUUCCAGAAUGACAUUUUGAAACCUUUUGUCAUUCUUAUGCGGAAUAGCCCCAAUGAAAAAAUACGCAGCCUGAUUGUGGAUUGCAUUGUUCAGGUAAAUUUUGGUCUGUUAAUUUUACACAAACUUAGUAUGUAUCAUAUGCUCCUUAUUUCAUUGUCUUCUUCAUGACAAAACAAAUGGUUCUUAACUGCUGGUGGUGGGAUAACAGAUGAUUAAAUCAAAGGUGGGCAGCAUUAAAUCUGGUUGGCGGAGUGUGUUCAUGAUCUUUACUGCAGCCGCUGAUGAUGACUUUGAAUCAAUUGUUGAAAGCGCAUUUGAAAAUGUUGAGCAAGGUGAGAAAACAGUUACUUUAACCUUGUGAGUUUAAAUUAUCCUAGAUUUCCAAUGAAGCUAAUAGUUUGUCUUGCAGUUAUCUUGGAACAUUUCGAUCAGGUUGUUGGGGACUGCUUUAUGGAUUGUGUCAACAGCCUCAUUCGUUUUGCUAAUAACAAAGUCUCACCACGCAUUAGCUUGAAGGCUAUUGCCCUCCUCCGUAUAUGUGAAGAUCGUCUUGCAGAGGUUUGCAUUAAAACAUACUUCUUCAUGUUUAGACAUAAUUUCAUAUUGUUAACAGACCUAGAAGACAUUGUUUGGCUAGAAAUUUUCAUAAUAACUUGUUCUUGACGAAUUCGUGGAAUAUAAUCAUACAUUACAUAUAGUAAUAUAUGCAUGCAAUGAGAUGCCUAAUGAAUAUUUCUUGAUAUCAUUUGCUCGUGUGCAAGGUUUGUCGCACCUCAACAUACCGUUUUGUAUUGGUGGUACAUACCGGUCCAACAAGGGAUCAGUACACCCCCGUGUAUUGUGUGUCGGUAUGCUUGGUAUGGCUCUGUACAACUUAGUACAUACGGUAUCAAUAGCUGGUCAGUAUAUCGGUACAGACUGGUAAGAUGAACCAUGCUUGCGUAAUGCUAGUUGUAAUCACAAUGACAUUGUUGAAACCAAGGUAUGCAAUAUCGUACUAUACCGGUGUUUCGAGGUUGGCUCGGUACGGUACGGUACCGGCGUACCGAGCGAUACACCAGGCCGUAUCGAGCGGUACACCAGGGCUUACCGAGCGAUUUUAAAUAUUUUUUCCAUUACUGUAGCAUUGUAGCACUGCUACAAUGUUACACUGUAGCACGGUCCGUCUGGUAGCGUGCGGUCUACGUACCGGUCCGACAUGUUGUCGGUACGCGGACCGCCUGUUACCGGUUCGAGUGCACUGCAGCACUGUAGCAGUGCACUGUACUCGGCACACCUGGGUGUACCGCUCGGUACACCUGGGUGUACCGCUCGAUAUACCGUACCGUACCGGUACCGAGCCCAGGUCGAAAUACCAGUACGGUACGGUAUUGCGAACCUUGGUUGAAACACUCAACUUUUUUCUCUUUUCGUUCUCACAAAGUUUAUUGAUUCCCCUUCUGAUCAUCCUAAGUUGUAGAGCUUAAUGAGUACUAUAACAAAAUUGUUGAAGCACUCAGCUUUUUUCUCUUUUGGUUCUCACAGUUUUUGAUUGUAGUAUUGAUGAGUGAUCCUGAGUUAUAAGAGUCUAAUGAGAACCAUGUUUUACUAGAGGUUUUAGAUUCCACUAGCACCAGUAUGUAUUGGGCAUUAUUUACUGGUCUGAUGGCAAACCAGCACAUGGACCAGCCCGUUCUAGGUGGUCCAAUCUGUUCUUUUUUUUAUAGGGUCAAACCACAUGACCUCUCUCUCUCUCUCUCUCUCUCUCUCUCUCUCUCUCUCAAUCUCUCUAGUGUCACCUUGACUCCCUUGUGCCUUGACCUCUCUCUUCUUUGCCUUUUCCUUUUCCCUACCACCUCACUAUAGUCUCUCCACUGCUCUCAGUCACUGCGUUGCUGGUAGCUGCUUCCUUCUUUGCAUUCAGUAUGCCUCGUCCUCCUUAUCUGCUUUCCUGCCUCUUUCUCAGCCUCCUCCGCAUCUGUCUUUCCUCCAUCCUCUGCUCCUCCUCCUCUGCGUUUUCCUCUCUCUUUGCCCUCUGGAUGGUACAUCCUCCUCGUCCUCUGCUCCUCCUUUGCCCUUGCUUGCCCCUCCGCGAAUCCUCCUCUCUCAAAUCCCUUCUCUUUCUCCCCUCUUCUUUCCUGCUUUUUCUUGGUCCAGACCUAUUGGUAUGCUGGUCCACAUCGGACCAAAAUAUUAGGCCACUAUCAACAGUGAUGGGGAACUCAUUAAUUAGCCAUUGUGGAAAAGCACUUCAUACUGAGAGAAGAGUAUGUCAUCAAGAAGUUUAUCCCAAAGUACUAACAUAGUCUUGGAACAAUUAUAUAAAAUAACAUAUCUAGGAAUUGAUGUUCAAUGUGUAAUCAUAGUCAUUGAAGACAGAAAUUUACUAUGUCAAUUGUCAAUAUUCUUCACUGUUCUCAAGCGAAAACACACUUUUAAAAUAUAUUUCCUCUAUCAUCAUAAAUUUAGUAAGUAAUAACAAAAUAUCAUCAUUUUGUGUUGGUCCGUGAAGCUAUAAUAACGAAGUUUAGAAACUGAUCUUUUGGAAUUUAUGAUCCAGAGGAUGGAUUCCUUUAUAAACUGUGACAUUGGUUUUGAUUUUUCAUAUAUAGGCCAAACAAAUAUUAGCUUCAUUCAGCAUUUUAUAACAGUAAGCAAUAAAGAAAAUUUGACUAUAAGCCUCAUAAAUAUUUGUUUCAAUCAACAUUUUGUAACAAUAAACAAAAAAAAAGAUCUAGAAGUUAAACAAAUAUUAACAUCAACUUAAAUAUUAGCUUCAAUCAACAUUUUGUAACAGUAAACAAAAAAAAAAGAUCUAGAAGUUCAACAAAUAUUAGCACGAAUUUACAUUUCAUAACAAUACGCAAAAAAGAAAAAUGGUUAGGCAUGGUAAUGUGGAGGGAAGAAGUUUGAACAAAUACUUUUUUAUAUGUCAACAAAGAAGCCCCGGGUUUUUUAUGAGUCAAGUGUUAUGUUGCAACUUUCAAGUUGUCGUCAUGCUCACACCAUAAACUGCACUGCUGGAGUUAAACAAUUUUCUAAGGGACCUUAUUGAUAAUAUGUGAUAGUUUCUUGGUUUCUUGAGCUAAAGAAGGUGAUAAAUUAUUGGAUAUUUCUAGAAAGACCUCAUUUGUUCAUCUAGCUCAUGAGUUUGGUCAUCUAGCAUUGAGUAUAAAAACGGCAGUUAAAGCUUACUUUGAUGACCAUUCGUGUACAAAACAGCUAGUUUGGUACAAAGUGGAUCAUUUUAAAGGUUUUGACUCAUUAAUUUUUCUAUCAAAUUGUUUUAGUAGAAAUGUUUGUGUUGGUUACAUGAACUUGGAUUGUUAUGCAUUUGCCUUCUGAUAUGCAGCUACCCAGUUUUAUUUAUCCAUCUGUGUGACCAUGUUAGUAUUGCUAAACUUCCAAGUUUGUACUUAUAGCUGUAUCCAAGAUUGCAUUAUUCUAUCAGGCUCCAUGGGAAGAUGGAAACUGAGUGAAAACAAAUAUUCCUUGAUAGAUUCUUUGUAUGUUUUACUUUCACAGGCUUAAUAUUUCAAUAUUACAAGCCCUUUAAUCUUUUGGUUUUGAUUUUGCUUCUCUUAUUCUUCUUGUUUUUAUAGGGAUUUAUACCUGGUGGAGCCCUGAAACCCCUGGAUGGUGGGCUAGAGACAAACUUCGAUAUAACAGAGCAUUACUGGUUUCCUAUGUUGGCUGGUUUAUCUGACUUAACACUGGACCCUAGAUUGGAAGUUCGAAACUGUGCACUGGAAGUGCUAUUUGAUUUGCUGAAUGAGAGAGGCCAGAAAUUCUCUUCUGCUUUCUGGGAGAGCAUCUUUCACAGAGUCCUUUUUCCUAUAUUCGACCAUGUACGACAUGCUGGAAGAUAUGGUCCUGUCUCUUCAGGUGAUGAGUGGCUCCGGGAGACUAGCGUCCAUUCACUUCAGUUGCUCUGCAAUCUUUUCAAUACUUUCUAUAAGGUAUCUAUUCUUUUUUUCUUCAUUGAGCCAUGUUAAAUAAUUCCAUCUGUAUCACAUGAUAUUCCAGUUAUGAACUAAAGCAAUUAUCCUUCCUCUUUAAUGUUCUUUUUAGCUAUGAUUUCAAUUUAACAUUUUUGUAUUGAAGGAUCAUAGUAUCAUACUGUCUAGAACCUCGUCCUAAGUUGUUAUUAUAUGGUUACAUGCUCUUACUUUCUGGCUUUCUUCAGGAAGUGUGUUUCAUGCUUCCACCACUCCUGGAUUUUCUCCUUGAUUGUGCCAAGAAAACAGACCAGAGUGUCGUUUGCAUCUCUCUUGGAGCCCUAGUGCAUCUUGUGGAGGUUGGGGGCCAUCAGUUUGGUGAUAGUGACUGGGAUACUUUAUUAAAAAGCAUCAGGUAUGCUGUUGAUGAGUUCAUCUCUUGUAUCAGUACUCUUUGUCAUUCUGAUCCUUUUUUCUUCUUGUAUAACUGUUAAAUUACAGAGAUGCAUCAUAUGCAACUCAACCUCUCGAACUCCUCAAUUCUCUGGGAUUUGAGGAAAAAAACCAAGCAGUUUUAUCCAAAGAUUUAGAUGACAAAGAUGGUGACAGUCCAUUUAGUAUCAAUCACAAUAGGAAGGAAGGAGGAAGAGCUAUGGUUAACGAAUCCUUAUCUGCUGGUAGAGAAGCUUUUGGAAAAAUAAUCAGCACAACUGACUUUAAGGAUGAUUAUGGUGAAAGCAAUCUCCAAACAAACUUGGAUGAGUCUGAUGGUAUGUUUCCAUGUAGUGACUUUCCCACUGGAUGUACCUGCAACAUGCAUAUUCACCUGUUAAAUUCGUGCAGUUAUAUUUAUUUAAGGGCUAUAAAUUGUGGUCAAUUGGUUUGGGGCAUAUAUAUUGUCCUUGGAUUCUUCUAGAGUAGUCAUUUUCUUUUUCUGUAGGUCUUCCUUCACCAUCAGGUAACAAGCAGAAGCCUGCUGUAGCUGUAAGCGUCCAGCGUAGCCAAACAUUUGGUCAAAGGAUUAUGGGUAAUAUGAUGGACAACCUUCUUCUUAGAAGUUUCACAUCCAAAUCAAAGAACGAUACAGACGAUCUUGGUCCGGUUUCACCUGUAAAGGUUGGUGGUUGUUCAUUAUGUUCUUUUUUAAUCAUUUAUGUGUUUAUUCACUAGAUUGAAGAUGGUGAUUAAUUGCAAUAGUUAGAUGGAGACAAAAAAAAAUCAUAUGGAAUAUAUUCUCAAUUUACUACGAUAAGGUAUAUUUGGUUUGUAAGUUGUGUUCUUUUGUGAAACUACAUCUUUUUGACAGGACUUGGAAUCUUGGAUGUUUUAGGCAAUUAGUUUUAGCUUAUUUGUUAAGAACAAAAAGUUGUACCCAAUAGUCUAAUCAUGUUUUUGCGAAUCCUAAAUCGGGCGACGGUAAAUUUUCGAAGAAAAUAAAAGUGAAUUAAUUAAAAUUUUCAUGUGAGUUACAUUCUUGUAUUCUUGAAUGAGUCAAUAAUAAUUUUGAACAUGAAACUUUUGAGAAUGGGGUUAGUUGUUCAAUUUAUGAUGUUAUUUAAAUCCUUGGUCACGUUAAAAUGUUCUGUACCGUUUAUGAAUUUGCUAGGUAUAUUUUGGAUGAACUUCUAAAUUGUAUGUUGAUAAUAUUAUUUAGUUUAUUAAUUUUAAACUUGACCCUCUCUAGACCCCACAUUGGCCGAAGCCUUGUGCACUAGGUAUGCCCUUUUUUAGUUAUGAAGACAUGUUAGAAACUAUGGGUUUUAGGUUUCAUAGGAUCAAUACCAAAUAUAUAAAGUGCAUUUUAACAAUAUUAAUAUAAGAAUUUUGUGGAUAUAGAUAGAAUAGUUAAACAAAAAAAUUUAAGAAGUUUUAAAAUUCUUGGAUUUAUAUAUCAAGGAAAAUAUUGCUUUUAGAUUCCAAGUGGGAUGGUAGAAGUAAAUAGAGUAUUGAAAGUAUUAUGUAAUUAUUGUGUGCUCUUAAAAUUGAAAAGGAAAAGGUAUAGCACAGUUGUGAGCUAGUAUCAUUUAUUAAUUAUUAAAUUGGUUAGUUAGCAAACAAUAAAAGUAGAAAGCUAAUUUUCUUGAAUUGAGAAUGUUGAGAUCAAUCAUCAAUGUAUAGAGCUACUAGAAAUGGGCAGACCAAUGCACAAAACUUUCACUAACACAUAACACAGGGAGAUAGUGUAGUUAUCUUUAUCUCUACAGCAUUGGGAGAUUGUUUUCAUAAUUAGAACCUGAGUCACCCAUGCCAUGGAUUACAAUGAUUGCUCAUCCUCAUAUGAAAAAAUAGAAUAAGAAUAUUACAUUUGUGAACAAUUAGGUACAAUUAUUAUCGAUGGCAAUAAUUAUUUAGGGAAGUUUGUUGGGAUUGGUUGGUGGAAGAGGUGAUUGAGAGAGAGAUAAUAGUAUUUUGUUUGAAACAAUCAAAAAAGUUUUCCCACAAACUUUGAAUAUCGAUAUUUCCUUAAGUCAUGCUUGAUGGCAAUCAUAGGAAAAGAUCCAUGUAGCCAACUGCAGAUAGUUGGGAACUUAUGAUUUGUGUCACUUAUGUUGACCAGAAUUAUAUGAUGGUGUACGAGAUAUAAGUAUCUUUAAAAUUCCUCAUAGUUUAUGUUUAAUGUGGAGUCAUCUCUACCUAUAUUUUGUUCCAUUUUGGCAUAUUAUUUGCUUGAUUCUGUAUGCGGAAUGUCUAUGCAGAUCCUUGAUGCUGCAGAACCUGUUCCUGAUGAUUAUGAUGAAGAGAACUCGAUGAUGGAGACUAUUAAAGGAAAAUGUAUUACUCAACUACUGUUGUUAAGCGUUAUUGAUAGCAUACAGGUAAUAUAAAAUUCAAACAGCCUGUAUCAUCUUGCUUAACUUAUUGUAGAUUGAUUAGUCUCCUGAUGAUAUAAUUGAAAUAUUGCAGAGAAAAUACUGGAGCAAGUUAAAGGUCCCCCAUAAAAUUGCAAUAAUGGACAUCUUGUUGUCUCUCAUAGAAUUUGCUGCUUCAUAUAAUUCUUCAUCAAACCUUAUAUUGCGAAUGCAAUAUAUACCCUCUGAAAGGUAGCUAAGCCUGAGGCUUACGGAUAUCUUGGUUAAUUUGUCAAUCAAAGUCUUACUUUUGGUGGUUAAUGUUGCACAGGCUACCUCUAAAUCUUCUUCGCCAAGAAAUAACCGGAACUUCCAUUUAUUUAGAAAUCUUACACAAGUCAACUGCAAUAUGGAAAAGCAGCAGUCAUGAACAAGUGAAUUCUGAUGGUCCAGUGGUCCCGACAUCAAUCAAUGAUUCAGGCUAUCUUGCAACUUUAGAUUCAGAAGAGAAACUCAAAGGCAUAGCAGAAGAGAAGCUGGUUUCUUUCUGUGGUCAGAUCUUAAAGGAGACUUCUGAGCUCAAAUCAGGUACAUUGGUGGAAGUGGGUUAUGCACAUCUACAUCGUGUACUUGACCUGAGAGCUCCAGUUAUUGUUAAGGUAAGAAACAUACAUCAGGAACUGCUAACAUGUAUUUUCUAUUUGUUUAUAUUUAUUAUGCUUGUGUUGUGUUAGAUAUGUUAUUGCUGUGAUUGUUUCUUGGAAAGAUUUGGUAAUUCUUAAUUUUUACAUCAGUAUAUAGUAUUCCAUUCUAGAGGAAAUGCUUCAGUAUAUCAACUAUCUCAUAUUAGGCAUGUAAUUUCUCAUUAUGAUUCUGCUUUGAUCAGCUUGGAUCUGUUGUUUCAAUAAUCUAGAAGCAGUUGUUUUGCAAUUUUUUGGUAUAGAAUAAGACAAUAUAUAUGUGAUCAGUCAAGCUCAAUAUAUGAAGUUAAAGUUCAACUACAAGAAACUAUGAGCCUAAUAAUGGUCGACUUCAAGUUGUAACAAGUUUAGUUUCUGUAUCUUAUAUUUAAGGUAUUAAUUCAAUAAUUCUGAAAUUCUAUCAUGUUUGUAAUUUGCUAUUGAAGUUCAAGAAAGUUGUUUUUAGAGCUCUUUUUUAUUUUAAGUAUUAGUCCUGGUUUCUGCCAGCAAGAUUUAUGCUGAGUUGUACUUGGCCAUGCUGUUAUGUCUAUUUGCUAUUAUGUCUAUUUUGUGCCAAUUAGGUCAAACUUUUACCAGUUUUGGUCAGCACAAAGGAUGUGCUUGGCAGUUUCAUGCUGAUAACAUUUCAUAUACAAUUUCAUUCUGACAAUAUUUUGAAACUCUUAAGGUGGCAAAUGUUUAGAACUUGUUUGCUAGGAAACUAACUGAUUCUUAUUUGGAGGAGUUACAGAGAACGAGGUUAAAAUUUGUGGUUCAGGAUUAGGAUUAGGCAGUUGGGAUUGAGGCUUCAGGAUAUCAGCCAAAAAUAAAUGAAAAUAAAAAAAUUAAAUCAAGAAAAUGUCAAUAGUUUAUCCUUCUCUCACUACUGUUGUACUUUCUUAUCCUCAUCAUUUGCUUCACUGUCAUGUCAAGAUCAAAUUUUUGUAUCUCUUUUAUAAGCCCCCUUUUUCUGUUUUGGUAGAAUGUUUUUGUUUUUGGAGAACAUUGCAGUAAUUUAUGAGUCUUUCCUCAUAUAAACAGAAAAUAGACCUGGGUUGGCCAGGUCACCUGAACUUUGGUGAUUUUGGGUGUCCGUAGCCCUAUUAAAAAACUCAGGAUAUUGGAGCUUGAACUUAAUAAGUUUUCAUUAGGAUUGGUUUAUUGGUAAUUGUGAUCUAAUGGAAGUUUCUGCGAAGCUGCCUUUAAUAAUCUUCUUCAUUAGAUCAUUUGUUCUCUUGUUAUCUCCUACUCAACCAGAAUAGGUUUUCUAUUAUUGCUUCUGAAAUAUCAGAAACAGUGCUGUUUUCUGCAGUAUUUUCACUUCCCUUGACUGUCGAUUGCCAAAAAAAGGGGCUAAAAAGACCUCCUUGGUGUUCAUAUGGAUCUAUAAUUUUCUCUAUAUUAAAGUUUGGAAUAGCAUGUCUGCACCUUCAAACUAGCAUAUAUAUAUAUAUAUAUAUAUAUAUAUAUAUAUAUAUAUAUAUAUAUAUAUAUAUAUAUAUAUAUAUAUAUAUAUNNNNNNNNNNNNNNNNNNNNNNNNNNNNNNNNNNNNNNNNNNNNNNNNNNNNNNNNNNNNNNNNNNNNNNNNNNNNNNNNNNNNNNNNNNNNNNNNNNNNNNNNNNNNNNNNNNNNNNNNNNNNNNNNNNNNNNNNNNNNNNNNNNNNNNNNNNNNNNNNNNNNNNNNNNNNNNNNNNNNNNNNNNNNNNNNNNNNNNNNNNNNNNNNNNNNNNNNNNNNNNNNNNNNNNNNNNNNNNNNNNNNNNNNNNNNNNNNNNNNNNNNNNNNNNNNNNNNNNNNNNNNNNNNNNNNNNNNNNNNNNNNNNNNNNNNNNNNNNNNNNNNNNNNNNNNNNNNNNNNNNNNNNNNNNNNNNNNNNNNNNNNNNNNNNNNNNNNNNNNNNNNNNNNNNNNNNNNNNNNNNNNNNNNNNNNNNNNNNNNNNNNNNNNNNNNNNNNNNNNNNNNNNNNNNNNNNNNNNNNNNNNNNNNNNNNNNNNNNNNNNNNNNNNNNNNNNNNNNNNNNNNNNNNNNNNNNNNNNNNNNNNNNNNNNNNNNNNNNNNNNNNNNNNNNNNNNNNNNNNNNNNNNNNNNNNNNNNNNNNNNNNNNNNNNNNNNNNNNNNNNNNNNNNNNNNNNNAUAUAUAUCCAUCCAAAUAUCUUGAUAUCACACAUAUAUCCCUUCAAAUAUUUAAAUCCUCUGUGCAUGCCACACCAAUUAGCAUCUGUCCGAUAAACCCGAGUCAACCAUUACCAACCAUGGUUAUCAAUGAUCUUAAAAGAUAUUAAAAUUUUAAACAUCUAGAUUGACUCAUAUGUCAUAUCACUUUCAUUGAUAAUUUGAACCCCUUUUCUUUAAACAUAAAUUUUAUGUGGCAAAUACAAAAUUGAGGAAACUAAUUUGAAGAUUAUUAAUGUUUAAUUGGAGUUUUUCUGCUGAUAGUCAACUGUCAGAGAUUAAAUAUAAUAAGAUAUCUAAAAGUUUACACACACACACACACACACACACACACACACACACACACACACACACACAUAACACACACACACACACACACACACACACACACACAUAGUGUGUUAAACUUAAAUUUAGAUGGACAAAUACAAAAAUCACUAAGUUUGGAGGGAUAUAUAUAUGCAAUUUUUCCUUCUAGUUCUGGUAAAUACUUAAAUAGAUUGGUAAGCUACUUUUCUAAUUAAAUUGUAGGCUAAAUUUGGGAAAAGAUGAGUGCCAAAAGAGGAAAAAGGAUGUUGAGUGGACAUUUUCUUCUCAAUAGUCUGUUAACCUCUUUCUUGGAUUUAUUUGUUAUCUUUACUUUCAUGUCUAAAUCUGUAUCCUCCGUGUUUGUCUGGCGUUCAGUGAAAAUUCUUAGGUUUGUCUGUGUUUUGAAGUAAUAUCAGAUCUCUGGAUUUUCUGCUAUUGUAGCCUCAUUUUGCUGUUACAGCCAAAAAUUUCCCUGAAGAACCAAUUUGCUGUUCAGAUCACAUUUUUAGGUCUCCCUUUGUAUCCCUUUAUAACUCGGAUACAAUAAUAUAACUACUAUUAUUGAGUGAUAAUUUUUUUUCAAAUACUUCAAGAAAAGUUAUGAUCCUUCCUUAAUACUGGCAGUUGUUACCUUCAGUAAUUUCUUAGACUUCUAUUUGAUCUUUCAGGUACUCAAACGAAUGUGCUGUAUGGAUAGUUUAAUAUUCAGAAAGCAUCUUAGAGAGUUCUAUCCACUAAUCACCAAACUUGUUUGCUGUGAUCAGGUAAGUCUUAUAGUAUUCGAAAGAUCAUGUUAUGUAAGCUGAAGCAUCGAGCUUAAACCAUUGCUUCUUUUAUAUGCUAAGAUCUUCUUCACUAAUCUUCCCUAAUCUGUUGUAGCUUGUUGCUUGCAAAAUAUAAUAUAUUUGUAUUAUAUUUUUAAGGACAUCAUCUUGUUUUUCAUUGCAAACAGUUGAUUCCAGUUGUGGCUUUAUGAAGAAAUACUGGAAGGUUCAGUUGGUCAAAAUGCAUGUACAUCCACACACACACAUCUACAUGCACGAAUGUGUGUUUGAGUGCGCGCGCUCAUGCAUACACGUGGGUGUAUGAUCUCUUCUCAUGGAAUAGAUCAUCCUUCAACCAUUUACGUAUACAUAGAAAUCAUUCUUUAUUUCAUUAUUUGGCUUAUGUAUGAUCCACAUUUUGAGGUUCAAUAGAUUGCUGUACGCUUAUCAUUUUCUUUUUAUUUCAGAUGGACAUUCGUGGAGCUCUUGGUGAUCUCUUUAGCACACAGCUCGCCCCUCUUCUGCGAUCAUAGUUAUCAUUACUGUUGAUGUUUUUGUUUGCCCUGUUGUGUGACCGACAUUCUUCAGCAUCUGCCGCUUGAAGCAGAAACUCUUCCAAAAUGUUUAUGCCAUGAAUAGGAGCACAUAUAUGUACUGUUGUAAACCUUUUCCAUGGUUGCUAUGAACAAGAGUGAACAGAGAUACCGGAUGGAUCUUAUGAGGUAACGCCUGCUAGUGACACUAAAUAUACUUGUGAAGGUACAUAUAUCGUAGAUCUUUUUAUUUAUAUGAGUGACACUGUUAGGAAUGGCUCAGCAUGUUUUGCUUAGGUCAGGAAACUCUAGAAAUGAUGUUAUGACAAUUAUUACAUCUGUUACUUUCUUACAAAAUCUCUCUUCACCAUUGGCUUUUUGGAGGAGAUGUAUAGCCUUGCCUGUUCAUCUGUGUAAUAGCUUUGUGCAUAUUGAAUAAUUUGGUGGCAUUCAUUAAUUAUAUCCCUCUGAUAGGAUCCUGCAUAGAUGUUGUCAUGUUUCUUUUGAGGGUACUGAUUGGCUCUUAAUUUGAUUGGUUUGUUCAGGAAAAAAAAAAGAGAAAAAAUUGUUGAUUGCAAAUUUAUACUUCUGCUUCUUAUGUUGUGUCAUCCAACUAUUGACAUUGCUUUCACAAGGGACAGAUUAUGCUAAUGUAUGUAUGAUACGAGUGGUGGUCUGUAAAUGGAUCAUUUUCUAAUUGCUUAAGCUUUUGAAAUUAUUAAUCAUUCAAUCAAAAUAUUCAUCAUGAUGUUAACAUAGAUUACGAGUAUCCGUCUAAUGUCUUUCUUUAAUUGGUUUGUACCAUUCAUGCAUUUGGGUUUAAUUUCACAUUACCAAAUCUAAUCCGAUUUGCACGUGAGAGAGGGAACGUUAAAGAUAAAUACAUAUCGAAUCAUUCUCUAAUAAUUAAAGGUUUUUUUUCCAAUCAUUAAUCGCCCAAUCAAAACAUAUAUUAUGAUGGAUUGCAUUCUAUCAUGUCCUCCUUCUCAACACGCAAGUUCCAAGAGCUUGAAUUUGCUGCAGCAGCAGCUUCUUGUGGAAGAAGAAAAGGAGGAUGUCCAGAGUCAAAAGCAAGGAAUGAAACCCCCCAGGGAGUAAUCUUGGUUGACACGAAACAAAACCUCGACACGGAAGAAGCUUCGAAUCCUCAUGUUUGUUUGACUGCUAAAGGACAAAGAAAGGGGGGUUAUUUUAAUCCGCCAUUCAGAAGAAUUAGUCUAUCUAACAUUAGCAGGGCUCAUUAAUCUUUCUUCACCUGAAGGGUUUUCUUGGGUGACCGCUGACUUUUAGCCUCAUUUGACGUCAAAGCCGCCACAAACAUUAUGAGUUCCUUGUUUGAUUUCCUUGUUCCUCGAAGCAAUUGUCCGUUCCUCUAAAAAUAAUACUCAAGUAAACAAAAAAAAAAAGUCUAAUGACUUUUAAUUUUUGAAUAAAAAAAGUAAAAUAGAAGAAACAAAAUGAAAAAAAAAAGAAAGUGGCAAAUUUCCUAAAAAAAGUAAGUCUCUGUUUUUAUUAUUUUUUUCUCAUGUCCAUAAGUACCCCGUAAUUUCCAAGAUUACAAAAAUAUAUUCGAUCGCUCUUAAAAUUUUAAGAAUUUUUGAAAAAAAAGUGAGAUGAGUUAUAUUAUUUUUGAAUGAAUUACAUUGUUUUUGGAUAGAUUAAAAAAGUGUAAAUCUCAUUCAAAAACAAUAUAACUCAGGUUUCUAUUUUUUUUGUAUUAUUAAAACUUCCUAAAAUCUUUUAUAUUGAUAUUCAAGUGAUUUUUAUCUAAAGGAUUAUACCUUGAACUAAGACAAAAUUAAAAAAAUCUAUUUAAAGGCAUAAAAUUAAUAAAAAAUAUUAUUUAGACAUUUAUAAAUUAUUUCCCGAGAACUUUAGAAUUUCUAGAAUUAUUCAUAUUUAGACAUUUAUAAAUUAUUUUAAGUAUGAAUUUAUUUUAUUUUAUUAUACUUUAUUCUUAAUUUUAAGAUUACUGAAUAAAAAUAUAUUAACAUUAUUAAUUUCGGAUUAAAUGGUUCAUUUGGAUUUCACUUAAAAAGAAGAGAAGGAAGUAAAAUACCGAAUUAGUGGUUGGCAAAAUAUCGAUGCUCUGCUGAAAAAUAAAAGAAAAAGAGGGGCUUUUCUGUGAAAUAUGGCCAAAAUAAAAUAACAAAUAUUAAGGAGAAAAGAAAAAAAGGGGAACUAAAUCGGUCUUUCUACCCGACAUCGAGAAAGGGAGACUUCGGGAGUCCACGUAGAAAAAAGACCAACUCUUGCCGCAAGCCCUCUUCUGCUUCGAUUCGUCCUUGUGAAGCUCGAGAUCUCCGCAAUUCUUUGCCACUACUCCCGUAGAGCUCGAUCCCUCGGUCGCCCGUCUCAUGGCCCGGCGUUACGACAGCAACCCCUUCGAGGAGGAGGAGGAGGAAGUCAAUCCCUUCGCGGUGAGUCGAGUUUUCGAUUACCCCGCUUGCAUCUCGCUCUCUAAGUCUUUAUGUCUCGUUCGACUUUGUGUUGAUCCCCCCUGGCGUCCAUCUGAUCGUUCCCGAUUAGGUUCGUGUUCUUCUCCCUCGUCGAGGUAUUUGUAGAUCUGAGGUUCUUGCUAUCUCUUUUUCCUUUUUUUAUUUGCUGUCAGAUUGGUGCUUUUACUUUUAGAGGUUGAUGGGUUUUCGCGAAACACUUGGCGUCUCUGCUUAAUGGUUUUUGUUAGAUCCGAUGGUGUGGGGUCGGUUAAGCUGAAAUUACUCCUACUAGGUUAAAAUUAUUGCUUGUGUUAGAUCUGCAAUGAAAUGGAAGUUUUGAUUGAUUCGAGAUGUUUGAUUCCAAUUAGAUGCCAGUCAUCUUGUUUAGAUCGAUUCGGCGGAUGAGCUGCUAUCCAUGGUUGAUACAGAGUUAUCUCUCAUGUUUUAGAAUGAGGAUAAGCAUCAGCAACUAAGAUAAAGAAUAGAGAGAAAUUCAGAUGACACCAUCUUUAUGAAAAAUUUCAGCCGAGGCAGUUGAAUCUGUAUAGUGAUUGCGUGGGUUUCUGGACCGGAGGAAUAGGGGCUUGCAAUUGUUGAUGGUUAACGACUUCCUUGUGCAUUCUGAUCUUCAAGCUUAUUUGGAAAUAACAUUGACCCACUUGUGGAGGAACCUUAAUGGGACUAUCAGCAUUGGUAGCUGGAAAGAAGCUUUUCUAGCGAGGUUUUGCCCUGCUAUAUCAAGCAAUAUUGUCAUAGUUUCUGUUCGCUAAGGCAAUUGUUUCUUAUAUCUGUUUACGCUUGAGCGAUGUGCUGCUUAAUGCAUAUUAUGAAGCGAUCGCAGCUAAAACCGAUGAUGUUUCUGGUUGGUGCAUUGUCUUUCCUUUCGUGGUUGAUAUUUUCUACUGAAAAUUUAAUACUGUAGAUCUCUUGAAGGAACUGCUUAAAUUAAAGAAAAUAAUCAAAGGCAUGUUUUGUAAGAAAAUAGGAAUGUAGCAUAAGGAGCUUUUUUGUGUUUCACCUCAUGAUCGUUUUAAGUUUAUAUUGCCUUGAUAUCUGAAAAUAAUUUGCUGUUUGUUUUUGUUUUUUCCACUAUAUUGUCUAAGUCAGGGUUUUUAAUUUCGAAUGAUACCUCCCGUAUUGGGCGUUACAUAUCGGUCCGCCAGCAAACCGGUAUGCGGACCGCAUGCUAUUAGGCGGUACCGUCGAUUAGGGCUGUUUCCGCCUUGUUACCACCCGAAAUCGAUCGGUGACGGUCGAUUUCGACUGUCGCUGCACGCUAUUGGCUAGUAUUAGUCGAGGGAGAACUUAGAGAUCCGGCGUCGCUCUCUCUCGAUGAUCCCGAUUCGUCGUCGUCCUCCCUCGCUGGACGCCGCAGAUGAGAUGUCGUCUCCUCCUCGUCUAAGGCGACGAGGCCUCGGCGUUGUCGGUGACUUCUCCUAACCUGCGCGGGGAGAAGAAACCUUGACGACGUUGCGUAGGCUUCACGGGGAGACCUCGACGUCGUUGGUGACUUCUCCUAAUCUGCACGGGGAUAAGAAACCUCGGCGACGUCGUCAAGGCUUUGUAGGGAGAAGAAACUUCCCGCGAAGAAACCUUAGUGACGUCGCUGAGGCUUCGAGGUUUUCUUCUCCCCACGCGAGGAGAAGAAACGACGCGACGUCGCUCCUUUUUUAUUUUUUUUAAUUUUUAUUUGUUUAACUUGAUUAUAUAUACACACACACACACACCAAGCGGUAUGCCAGAGUGUAUCGCUCGGUAUACUCGCACCGUACCGUACCAUAUCGUACCGAGCUGAACUCGAUACUCCGGUACGGUACGAAAUUACGAUCCUUGGUCUACAUUCAUUUUGUGUUCUUAUUUCCUGUGGCAGGACACUGGAGCUCGUGGAAAGGCAACUGGAUUAAAUUAUGGAGGAGGCCCAUUCUACAUGGUAGUGAGUUUAUUUUAAUUGUCAUGCAUGUGGUAAUUCUAUAUGGUUUUAUGAUUGAACCAGAGAUGCAGAAGUUACCUGCUCGACUAAAUCAGUUGCAAUGUUGUUUUGCUAGCUGUUUUCCAUUUUGUAUCGUUUGACUUCACCAAUAUCUUAUUCCAACUCUGCAGAAUCCAGCAACUGUUCCUCCUGCAUCAAAUUCCAGGCUUUCACCACUUCCUCCAGAACCUGCUGAUUUCUACAAUGACCGCAGUGCAACUAUUGAUAUUCCUCUUGAUACAGCAAAGGUUUGUGCAAAUUUUCAGUAAGCUAUAUUAACAAUGAGAUCAGACCAGUCCAUUGCUACACAGAGUCUAAUUAACAAGGACAACAAGUUAGCUUGUUUCUAGCUGUAGGCUUCUUUUUGCUUUCAAAUAUGCUACAAAUACUUUACCAUGGCCGGAUCAUUUGAUCUAGUAUUGGUAUGUGGAGUUGCAGGGAGUUUUGUUCUAAUGGUUGCAACCUUAUUGAUGUCAUAAUCUCAGUUGAUUUAUUGUGUGUGUGUAUUGGAUUCUCUUGUUGCAGUCUUGAUUAUGCUCUCCUCCUUCUCUUUUCAUGUAGGACCUGAGGAAAAAGGAGAAGGAACUACAAGCCAAGGAGGCCGAACUAAAUAAGAAGGAAAAGGUAUAUCAUUGAAUUCUGAUGCAUGCAACUUUUGUAAAUAGUCUAGAAGCUUCAAUUUUACCUAAUCUCGUCUCUUACUUGUGUCUGUGUUCUGAAGCAUAAGUAUGUUGGUGCAGCUUAAGGUUAUCAUCAUGCCUUCAUUAUGUGGUGUGCUGUGUUGUGUUGACUUUGUUGUAUAAGAAUCAUAUUGACAAUUGGAGCAAAGUAGGGAAAGCAAGCAUAUCUUUCUUGCUAGAUAUGGAGCCAUUUGGAGCUUAAUGAUUGCUGUUGCUUGAAUUUCACAAUUGCAAGUAUAAUUUUUCUAAUUUUCAAAUGAAAUUAUAUUACAUGUCGGGCAUAUUUAAGUAGAAAGAAAAAAAUUGACACAUUUUUUCUUUAUGACCUUGUAUGUCUGUGAGCAUCAUAAGAUGUCAAAGCCAAAUAUAUUAUGAAACUUUAUGAUGCAUACCUGAUUUGCAAGUUAUACAGUAUGACAGGAUACAAUUUGUUACGGUUCAUAUUUUUCUGAGGUGUGCCUGACAUUUAUGAUCGUUUGCUUUCAUGAGUAUCCUGAGAUCUUGCUAUUUAAGAAACUAAAGUACGAAGUAGAAAUGGCACUAGAAAUACAUCCUGGCGUACGCACUUGAUUCUUUGUUCCUUUAACUAGCAGUAUCUAUGUUAAGAAACAAGAAGGAUAUUGUUGUUCAUUAACUAAUACCAGUGAUAGUAAUAUAUGCAAUAGUAACUCGUCAUGGUAUUAGUUAGAUGAGAUGUCCAUUUGAAUUCAAAUAUAAUGUUAGAGAACAAAUGUAAUAUGAUCUUUUGCCCUAACAUGAAUUUAGUAGAAUAACUGGGUUAUAAUUGUAUUUAUCCUGUUGCAUUUGUCAAGUCCAUUAGCAAAGAGAAUCCUUGAUGAAUAGAGGCAUUGAAAUAAAUGUAUGCUGCAAUUCCCUGCCCCGGAUUUUCCAUGCCAUUUGUUUUAACUCUAAUAUUAUACAAUCAUAGUUCACCUUAUCGGUCCGUAUCGGUGUACUGACUAGCUGUCGGUAUGGUACGUAUCGAACCAUACCGAACAUACUGACAUAUGGUUCAUGGGGCCAUACUGAUGUAUUGGAUUGGUACAUAGUGCUUGUACCGAGCGGUAUGUCAUGGUACGACGAACCUUGAUACAAAUAUUGUAUGUAUAAUUUAGAAAUACAAUUUAGAAACACAAAUCAAGGAGUUGGCUACAUUAACAGUCCCCAAUGCUGGUGCUUGAUAUCCAAUCUAACUUUUUGAAUAUGGUAUCCAUGAUCUCCUCAACGUGGUAUUUAUGAUAUAAGGAUUUUCUUGACAGCUUUCAUUUACAAAGUUGAUAAAUUUCAUGUAAUGUUGUUGUGCUUGGCGUCAUCUAGUUUAUGGUCUGGUUUGUAGUGAGGCAUGGCAAUUAUUAUCAGAACCAAUUUUAAAAAUCUGUGUCACAAAUCUUUCUCCAUACUAAUGGCUGCAGGAAAGGCUAUUUGUGGGUGGGACACAUAACCUUAGGACAUAAAUGUGCCCCAUAAAAGUUGAAAGUAAAAAAAGUAAUUAGAAGAUGUCAUAUUGAAGUCUAGGUAACUGGUGGGUUACUGAAAGAGUUCUUCAAGCGCAGAAUGUAGCAGGGCCUGAUGGAUAAUGGAUACCAUUUUGGACAAUUUCUAAGCUGAUAUAUUGUUUAAAUGCUCUAGGCAUAUGACUUUAAGUUCUUUAGUUAUAUAUUUUGGUAAUGAGCAUCCCAUUACAUAGAAACUGAUUGGGGUUUUUCAUGAACUAUGAAACUGUAUUAUGUGGAAACUAUUUAGUUUAUGUUUCUACAGAACAUUCAUGCUAUAUGUUAGUUUCUUGACCAUGAUAGAGACAGGCUCCAUCCAUACCCAGUAUUUGACAACUGCUGGUUUCUCUCCCACUGAUUCUUGUUUCUAUUUUAGUUUGCUAUAUCUUUAUUGCUCAUUCAUUAUUUCUGUCUUGUAGGAACUUAAACGUAGAGAAGAGGCUGCAGCCCGGGGUAACAUCUCGGCUUCUUAUUUGUAGACACUGAUUUCUUAUUUUUCUCAUUUAGCAGAUAACUUCAUCCUUGUUAAUGUGAUUUUUUUUUCCUGCUUUUUCAGCUGGUAUUGUAAUAGAAGAAAAAAAUUGGCCGCCUUUUUUUCCCAUUAUUCAUCAUGAUAUUGCAAAUGAGAUUCCUAUCCACGUACAGAGAUUGCAGUACUUUGCAUUUGCAUCAUUGCUAGGUAUGUUUCAACUUCUACACUUUUUUUAAAUGUUCUAUCAAUUGCUUUACUGUUUUGGAAGCAUUCUCUUGCUUCGGUUGAACUUAUAAAUCUAUAGUUACAAAGUGGGAAUCUGUUAGCUAGGCAUUCUGGAUGUAUAGUCAAAGUGUACUCACAAGAUAUCUCUUGGAUCAUGCAUUUUAAUUAGGGUUAUACCUAAUUGUUUACCUAGUAUGUGUUGGUGAAUGUGAUUCCUGAAACAAGAAUCAAAAUUACGUAUAUGGUAUAGGUUUAUAUAACUCAAAAUAACACUGACUUAAUUUGUUGAUGUUUAAAGCAUGAAACUUCACAAUUUAGACUUUUUUCAGGGUUAUUUGCAUGCCUCUUUUGGAAUAUAAUAGCCGUUACAGCAGCUUGGAUUAAGGGGGAAGGUAAUCAUAAAGUUUGACCUUGUCCUGUAUUUAACACUAUUUUGCCCUGCAUAGUGAAUUUCCUCAUUACCACAAUGAAGCUAAUUUUGCUUGCUUUUUGGCCAGGGGUAAAGAUCUGGUUACUUGCCAUCAUCUACUUUAUUGCAGGUGUCCCAGGAGCUUAUGUCUUGUGGUAUAGACCUCUUUAUCGUGCCAUGAGGUACUAUACUUUUGUGUAUUUGCUUCUAAAGUCUUAUGAAUUGAACUUUGAUCAUACAUCUGUGUAUCACAUAACACAAAUAGAAAUAUGGCAUGCCAUGCUCGUGCUCCUAGCUAUUUUUACUGUUUGUAGAUUGUAGACUGGUUCACUUUUCAUACCUGCCCAUGUUGACUUGUAUUAUGCUUUUGCCAGAUUCAGUUCAGGCAUGAUGCUAGUUAUGUACUGCACUAUAGCAGCAUCAUAAACAUUGUUAGGAGUUUACAAACUUACAUGGCGUUUGUCUGUGUCUUAUAGGACUGAAAGUGCUUUAAAGUUUGGAUGGUUUUUCUUGUUUUACGUGGUAAGUUAUUUUUUAAUCUGUGUACUUUUAGAUUCCUGAGGUAUCAUCUUCUGGGAGAGAAGUAUUCCUUGUGCCUUUAUCUACUCGCAAUUAUUGUUAUUGCAGCUUCAUAUAGGUUUUGUGAUCUAUUCAGCAGUGGCUCCUCCAAUUUUCUUUAAGGGAAAAUCAUUGACGUAAGUAGAUCUGUUCAUGCCUUUUCUUUCACUAUUUUGUUUUGUUGUUUAUAUAUAGCACGUAUAGCAAACUGUCAUGACUUCUUAUAUGAUUUUACUCGAGUGAAACUAAAUGAGCUUGUCCAUUUUAUCCUUAUUAGUCUUGGAAUGCCAACUUUAUGAGGUGUUUCUGUACUUAGCUUAUUGACUUCAAUAAAAAUGUUUUGGAAACAGUGAAUUUCAACUGAAUAGCAGCUGUAUCAGAAAAAUUAUGAAGUAGGCUGGCAUGGCUCUUGGUGCCAUACCAAGGGUAUGCGGCAUACAGAGCAUGUGCCAAUUCAUUCAGUUCAUAAAACUGAAUAGCAGUUUUACCUACAUUUUCAGCUCUUCUUGAUAUUACAAAAAUUGCAUCUCAUAUCUUUGGUUUUGUAAGAAAUGUUACAAUCAUGAAAAGAUCUACUUGUACUGUUACAUAUUAUCUAAUACUGGAACAGUAUAAUUGAAGAGACCGAUAAAUGUCUGAUUGUUGGACGCACAGUUAUGGUGUGGAUGUAAGAGUCCAUGUCACACUAAGUUUUCAUAUAAUUUGAGUAUCAUAUAUUAUGUCCAGCAGAUAUCUUUUUUAAUUUGCCAAACCUACAAAAACAUGUUUCAAUUAAGGUUCACAAUACCUACUGAUAUGGACCAGGAUAAGCUGUAUUGCCUGAUACUUGGCCAGUACUGUAAUAUACAGGUCAGUACAGGUUUUGUAGUGGGAAAUUUAUUUAUUUUAAUGUUUUUCGGUCUUUUUUAUUUUUUUUAAAACUUGGUAUGUACCAGCAUACCGACAAUUGGUACACUGGUAUGGUCAGAGCACUGACCGGUACAUGAAAUUAUGAAUUUUGGUUUCAACAAUGAAUAACAUACUUUGGAAAAGCAUUAAAACAUGAUGAAUUUUGCUAUGUAUGCAUAAGAUAAUGUUGGAUGCUUUAUUGAAAAAAUCUAGACCAUACUUUAAUGUGUAUGACACCCAAUAGAGCUGAUGUUCCGCUUUGAGGCUCCUGUUAAUGAACAGGGUUUGUAUGACUGAUGUGCCACUUCUUCUGAUGGAAUGUAAACUCCUCUCUCUCUCAAACUAUAAAUAGUUAUAACUUGCAGAGUUGAAUGUCACCCUCUGAGGACCAGUGUUUUCUUACAAACAAGGUUAAGAAAGAAGUCGAAAUGAAAUAGGACGAAUGAAUGAAAGGUUAAAAAAAAUUGGAUGGUUAUCAGUUGUAAUUAAUUACUGUUCCUAAAUUGUAAGAUUAUAAUUGUCUGCUAACGCGUUCUUUUUUUGUGUUCCUGUUACAGAGGUAUUUUGCCAGCAGUGGAUAUCAUCGGUGAUCAUCUUUUGGUUGGGGUAGGUUCUACAUUAUAUGAAAGAUGCAAUUACUUAGUUGUAUAUUUAGGUGCCCAAAAGCAUAUUUUUGGGCAUAUAAACAUGGACCACAUAGAACCAAACACUCAGUACUCCAUUAGUACUAUGUAGUCUUGUUACAGAAUGCAACUGACCAGGACUUGGUUUACAAACUGUUGCCAGCUAUGGCAUUCUGGACACAGAUUCUACCUUAUCCCUGUCAAUUGUUUGCCUGCUAAAAACCACCGACACAAUAUGCUGUAUGCCUGGUGUGACGAGGCAUUAGAAAAUCCAGGUGUCAUAAUCAAUUAAUAACCAAGGUGUUUGUAAACAAUAUAUGCUAAUAUCUUUUAAUCUAUUGAUCAAUAUGAACCACUGGUUUUGUAGCUGUAUUUUUGUUUUAUCAUGUGGUAGCCAAUAAGAAGUUGUGAAAAUAUUUCAUUUCAAAUCUGAGAAACUUUUUUUUUCUUUUUUGCUAGCUCAUUUUCUCUUGGUUCCUUUGUAGCUUUGUUUAACUCAGGAUUCUCUUUUUUUGUGUGUAGAUCUUCUAUUUUAUUGGAUUUGGAAUGUUCUGCCUUGAAUCACUGCUCAGCGUCUGGGUCAUUCAGGUCAUCUUCCUUAACCUAUAUUCAAGUUGUUGGUACUCAAAAGUUUUGUCCUCUGUUUUAACAUCAAUUACGAAUUAAUUUCUUGUGAAUGUGCUAAAACAUGGCUACAUAGAUUUAAGAGAUCAAGUUGAACAUUAUCUUGCUCAUAUAAUCUAAUGCUGCUGCAAUCCUGCUUAUGUGAUAACAGGACCUGUCAUUUGUCAAUUCUCAUGUUAUGAAAUGAUUUUUUUUUUCUGUGAUAAAUAAGAAUUCAGGGAGACGCUUAUACUAUUCACCUUCUCGCUAACAACGCAUAACUUGCUUACUAUUCUUGCAGCAAGUAUACAUGUACUUCCGAGGGAGUGGGAAAGCUGCAGAGCUGAAGCGUGAGGCAGCACGCGGUGCUAUGAGAGCAGCAAUCUGAUCGAAGGACUUGACAUCAUGGUUCUCCAGAGCCACAUAGGGUGAGCAAACUUCUCGAUCUGGCACAUCGCAUCACUCUGCUUGUCUUAUUUCUUCUCAGUCAUCGCACAUCUGGUGUAGAUCAUGGACAGAACAGAUGGGUUGUAGUUUCUCUGUAGUUAAAAAAGGAGAUGAUGUAUCGCAUAGCUUCUUUUUUCGGAUCUUCCUUCUUUGUGUGUUCCUUCCUUUUAGCUAUACUUUUAAACCGUAGGAAGCAUAUAAUCACAGUGUCUGAUACAGAAUUCAAGUUACAUUUUAUUUUCAGUUGUUUCUUACUCGGGAGAAAUAUAUCAUCUAUUGUUGAAUGCUACAGAAUGCACAUUUUUAAUCUUUUCCAUUGUUGAUGUGCACUUCCUAUCAAGAUUCCCACAGCACAAAGCUCCGUGUGCCGGUGACCAUUAAUACUAUACUGCGUCUGAUGCCCUCACAACGUUAUCGUAAGAUCCGUGUCACGCGACGUGCGGCUGUGCAUCCAAAGUCGCCACACCUCACUAACUAAACCUUGCUAACAGUUGGACGGCUUCGUGCUCUGUCGAUGCACACAUUUUCUUCAUUAGUUGCUCGUCUUCCUCCUCAUCUCUGUAUAUAAGGUGGCCUCUCCUCUUCUUCCUCCUAUCCAACUCAGUUAAAAGAGUGAAAAGAAAGCUUAGCAACCGAGAAUGAGUAGCAGUUACGUCGGCCAGGGGACGAGGCGUGGCAAGCACCUUCGCUCGGCCCGCCCCAUCCCCAAGCGAGGGCAGGUAAAGAUGGCCAUCGCAGUGGGGCUCCUUCACUCCGUCUCGGCCUUCCUCUCCCAUGCCACCCGCUCCGCUUCCUUCGGCCGCCUCACACGAGCCGCUUCUCUAUCCUAGUUUGUUGCUCCCUCAGGAGGAGGAGUCGAAUAAGGAGGCGGCGGCCCUCGUAUAUCCUGCGUGCACUAUCAUCACCAUCUCAAGUUUUGGUCUUCUUUUAAUAGAACAUCACAUCUCAGAACUCGUAGUUGUCGGAUGUAUCACCUUCCAUAAUAAAAAUCUCCCCUCCCCUGUUGCUUUCUUCUGGUAGAAACAUGCCAUCCGAAAUCUAAGCAGUCUUCCUUUGGACGACCGCAUCUGAUGCUAAGUUCGAUGUGGCUUAUGCAAUGGCUGUUUCUUGCUCCGGCUUAUAGCCACCAACAGACGCCACACCAUCUUGGGACUUGGCUUAACGCUGUCACAGGACGGAGAGAAGACGAUAACAUGCCAUGACCGAAAAUAACAACGUCAGGAAGAAGACGACGACGACGAAGACGAUGGAAUCGAAUGGGGGGGGGUUUCUCCGAUACAAACUCCGUGUGCAGUAUCGAAACAAACGAAUUCGCGAACGACCUCUACGAUGGGUGACGACAGCAUCGUUCGGAGAGUGCUGAAUUCCUCGUCUCCUUCCUCCGGUCUAUAAGUCCCAUCGGCAUGCGCAGGGAGGGAGGAGCCCAGUCCUCUUCCGCAGUGAGGAACGAAGAGGGGAUGGCCAUUCACCACCACGAGACCGCGAUCGACAUCGCCCCGCCGGCGGUCUUCACCGGGGGCCUCGAGUUCUCCGAGCUGACGUACACCGUGAGCAAGAAGCAGAAGGUGGGCGGGGGGUGGGAGAAGCAGGAGGUGGACCUGCUCCGCCGGAUCACCGGGUACGCGCCCAAGGGGCGCAUCACGGCCGUCAUGGGCCCGAGCGGCGCCGGCAAGUCCACCUUCCUCGACGGUCUGGCCGGCCGGAUCGCGAGCGGCAGGCUUAAGGGGAGGGUGUCUCUCCACGGCGAGGAGAUGAGCCCCGGCCUCAUCAAGCGCGUCUCGGCCUACGUCAUGCAGGACGACCGCCUGUUCCCCAUGCUCACCGUCUACGAGACGCUUAUGUUCGCCGCCGACUUCCGCCUCGGCUCAAUCCCUCGCUCGCAUAAGAAGCAUCGGGUGGAGCAGCUCAUAGACCAACUCGGUUUGACGGUAUACAUAUGUGGAUUGGUCGAACACCUUUGCCCCUCUCUGUCUCUACGUGUAACUUGUUCUGCUUGCAGUCGUCGAGGAACACGUACAUCGGCGACGAAGGCACGCGCGGGGUGUCGGGAGGCGAGCGGCGGCGGGUAUCGAUCGGCGUGGACAUCAUCCACGGGCCGGCGCUGCUGUUCCUGGACGAGCCCACGUCGGGGCUCGACUCCACCAGCGCCCACAGCGUGAUCGAGCGGGUGUUCGACAUCGCGCGGUCCGGGAGCACCGUCAUCCUCACCAUUCACCAGCCGUCCCACCGCAUCCUGAUGCUGCUCGACCACCUCAUCGUCCUCGCCCGCGGACAGCUCAUGUUCAUGGGAGCCCCUCGGGACGUGGGCGGCCAUCUCAGCCGCAUGGGCCGCAAGGUCCCCAGCGGCGAGAGCGCCGUCGAGUACCUCCUUGACGUGAUCCAGGAAUACGAUCAGUCGGGGCUCGGCGUGGAGGCGCUGGCCGAUUUCUGCCUCACCGGGCUGAAGCCGCCUCGCGUCUCCAACGACGGCGACCACCAUUCCAUCUCGACAGUCCACCAAGCAGCAGGGGAGUGGUCCGCCGCAGGCGACGGACAACGUCGAGGGCCAGAUGAGUUCGACCACAGCCUUCGGAGCCCCUGGUCCUCAUCCAGAUCCCCGUGGGGCGGCAGCCAUAGCGGCAGCGUGAUCAUGGACAGGCUACGGCAUCGGAAGCCACAGCAGCAGCGGAGGCGAGUCGUCUCUCUCGUUUCCUACAUUACAUACAUGCAAUAUGGCUCAUCGAUGCUGCUGCUGCUGCAGUUUGUCGCCGGAGUACUCCAAUGAGAUCCGGUCGAGGUCGUCGACCCCGCACAGCGAGUACACGGUGAACGAGGAGGACUACCUGUCCCCGAACUUGGAUGAGUGCGGCCGGCACACCGCCCAUGACCUGCGAGGCCUUCCCAAGUUCGCCAAUUCCUACUCGGCAGAGGCGUGGACGCUGAUGCGGCGCAACUUCAUCAACAUCCGGCGCACCCCCGAGCUGUUCCUUUCCCGUCAGAUGGUGCUCACCGUCAUGGGCUUUAUGAUGGCCACCAUGUUCCUGAGGCCCAAGGACGACCUCCAGGGCGUCUCCAACCGCCUCAGCUUCUUCAUCUUCACCGUCUGCCUCUUCUUCUUCUCCUCCAACGACGCCGUCCCGGCCUUCAUCCAGGAGCGUUUCAUCUUCGUGCGCGAGACGUCCCACAACGCCUACCGCGCCUCCUCCUACACCAUCGCCGGUCUCGUCACCUACCUCCCUUUCCUCCUGCUGCAGGCCGCCACCUACGCCGGGAUCGUCUGGUUCGCCCUCCGCCUCCACGGCGACUUCCACUACUUCCUCAUCAUGCUCUACGCCUCCCUGCUCGCCACCAACUCCUUCGUGGUCUUCGUCAGCUCCGUCGUCCCCAGCUUCAUCCUGGGCUACGCGGUGGUCAUCGCGUUCACGGCCCUCUUCUUCCUCUUCUGCGGCUACUUCAUCAGCCGCACCAGCAUCCCAAACGGGUGGAAAUGGAUGAACACCAUCUCCACCCUCAAGUACACAUACGAAGGCCUGCUGACGAACGAGUUCGUGAGGGACCGCGUCUUCUUUCACGACCCCUUCGAGAACCGCCCCGUGAACGGCGCCGACGUCCUGCGUCAGCUAUCCAUCAGCACCUCAGAGUCAUACAAGUGGAAGAUGGUUCUCUACCUCGUCGGCUGGGCGGUGCUCUAUCGGAUGUUCUUCUACCUCAUCCUCCGCUUUGCGUCCAGGAACCUGAGGUCGUGAAGUCGCAGAUAACCUUCGUCGUUCUCACUUCAUCGAUUUCAUCGUACCAACCAUUUGAAUUCCAUGAAUCUUAUCUUUCAUCUUGAUUUCGAUUAAUUAUUUAUUACACGAGAAGAAUCAUAGUACAGAUUGCAUCGAGACGAACGAAGUCAAACUGUAACAUUUGCAGGGACGCACCGUUGACCGCACACUUUACAGUGUGAUUGGCUCGCCAAUUAAUUACCUCACAGCACGGAUUCUGACCGCUUUUGUUUGGUUCUGCUGCGGCAGCGACCGAUUCGGGCCCAUCUGUCUCGUAUUUGAAAUCUCACCCCCCAUAGAUUUCGUACGUAAUAAUGAUGAUGACAUACUCACCUCAUAAAUUUAGCUUAUAAAUCCAUAAUAUUUUAUGAAAUAUCUAUUUAGAAAUCCGGAUGAGGACAUGCGAUUAAGAUCGUUUCCUGAUGUGUCAACGACCACCGAAACGAGCAACACAAUUCUAUCUACUUCCGGAUGCAUACGGCACCGUUGUGAUGCGAUCGACCUCAAGAUGGGUGCGAUCGCAUCCGUUCAUCCGCAGCGGGGGGGGGGGGGAUUUAGCAUUGGAGUAUUAGGUAGGAAUUGCUGGAAAUCGAUAGAAUAAGAAAUCUUGUCAUUCCCCUUCCUCGAGUUCCCCAUUUGACCGAGAAAGCAGCGUGUGGUAUGGAGAGUGUGUGAGCAUAAAGUUCUGAUUUUGAAUGAAUGUUUACUAUAAUUAAGAGGUUCCCGUCUCAUGGUCUCUUUCGGUGGAGGCGCAGCAUUUGGAAUCCAGAGGAGGGAGGAGAGAGGGAAAGGGGUACCAAAAAAAGAAUGAAAAGGACGACAAAGGAAACUUGCUUUUGAUCUGGAGCAAGAAAAUGAGGGGCAGGAAUAGGAAGUAAAAGCUAACCCUAGGAGCGGGAUUUGGUUCUUGACGGUGGAAGAAAGGGGAGCGGAGGACGGGAGGAGGUGAUGGGCGUGGAGGAGGAGGCCUUUUCUUGAAAUAGAUUUGGGGACAGAGGAGGGGGCGGAGGCAAAGGGAAAGAUGGUGGUGGACGACUGCUGCUUUUUACACAAGGUGAUUCUUCCCGUCUCUGAACAUUGGUGCUUCGUUCCUUUCUUUUUCCCUUUCCAUUCCUCUUCGCCCGUUUGCUGAUGGUGGUAGCUUAGAAGGUAAAAGAGGAAGACGUUCUAUUUUGAGAUGAAACUCGGAUCUUUGAUGGUUUUACCGUAUGCUUUGCCAAAGUUGGUAAGUCUAUGUUUCUUGAUACAAAUAUUAUAUUUUUCUGGUUUUCAGCUUCUCUUUGGAUACAUCAAACGAAGAAAUAUAACAUUGUUUGUUUCAAUGCCUAUGGUUGUUUUUAUAUUUGUUAUUUGAGGAUUAUUCGAUUUGUCCGGUCCACCUUUUGAUUUAUUCUUGUUGGACUGUCUCAUGUCGUAUAUGAUUACUUUCUGGAUUUAAGCUCUUGUUUCAAGAAAAGAUCACAUGGAAGGUAGAUCAAGUUUUCAGAUUAGCUUCAGGAUUCAUGGAGAAUGCGUGCAACCUUAUUGAAAUGGUUUUCCUGUGGGCGUGCAGGACUCCCUAGUGAUUAAGCCUCAAAAGAAAUAUCCUCUUGGGUUGUGGAUGGCUGUAUUGGGGUUGAUCAUGAUCAGCGGCAUCUAUAUAUGCUCCCUAUGUCUAAAGCAGAGAGUGCUCCUAGUCACACCUAAUCAAAUGAAGGUAAAAUCAACAAGGCAGACUUGCCGUGAUCCUAGCAUCCCAAAGUCCGAGCUUCGUUAUAUGCAUUAUCCAGAGCCCAUUAGUUACAGUAGGUAUGGAGUUAGAUUGGCUGUGAAAAGCUUUCAAAUCAGGUGCAUAUAUAGUGAACAUUCUAUUUAUAUUGCAGGGAAGAAUGUGCUUGCACGCCGGUUAGGUUCUUUGCUAUUCUAUCGAUGCAGAGGUCUGGAAGUGGGUGGUUUGAAACAUUGUUAAACAGUCAUGUUAAUGUCAGCUCUAAUGGUGAAAUUUUCUCUGUGAAAGAAAGGAGAAGUAACAUUUCGACUAUCACAAAGACACUAGAUAAAAUCUACAAUUUGGAUUGGUAUAGUAGUGCCUCUAAAAAUGAAUGUACCGCAGCUGUUGGCCUCAAGUGGAUGCUUAAUCAGGUAAACUUUCUAUCUUAAAAUAGAACCUUUCUUUCGAUAAUGUUUGAUGUGGAUCUAGAUCACUGCCUACAACUCAGGCUUAUUUAUUCUGGCUACUUAUUGUAUCAAUAUAACAUUUCCAAAACAACUUUUUGGGCCUUUUAUGAUACGUAAUUAGUUCUUUUUUUUUUAGAUCAGCAAAAUAUAUAUUGUAGAGAUUGAUUAGACAUGUUUUUUAUUGUUACCCCGAUUGCCCUUCCAUUUUAGUGUUUCUCCUACCAUCAUACCUGUGGUUCUUAUGAAGGAAUAUAUUGUAUGUGGUGCAAUCAUACAAAUUUGGAGAUGUGGGUUUAUAGUUAUGUAUUAUAUUUUUACCAUUCCCAUGGUAGAGCUUGAUUUAAGAAAAAGGUUAUGGUGGCAGCUGUUGCAUUUUGAAAUGAUAAACUGUGAGAUACAUGCAUGCAUGAUAUUUCAAGCUUAUGGUAAAUGACAUAGCAGGUUCUAUGGUAAUCAUGGCUGGUGAUAUAGUAGGCCAUACGGAAGCUGGGCUGCAAUAUAACUCAGUUUUAAUUUGAUCUCGGAUUGUGCCCUACUGUUUUUCAUCUGUAUUAUGAGUUGUAAGCCCUUUAUUUUUUCUUGUUUAUUCUAGAAAUGAAGGGAAAAUUAUUAAAUAAAUAAGUAACAUAACAUAAGGAGGAGGUACCCUUGUAGGAGCCGUGGCGAAACUUGUUCUUUUCUUGCCUUUCCACUUUUAUCUUCCCCGGACUCACCAAACACAUGGAAAAUCCCUCACUUUCAUCUUCUCAUGGCUUCCUUGCCUUUCUUCCAUACCCACCUGAACACCAUGCCUAUGCUCUAUUUUGGUGGGUUCUCUAAAGAGUAAGAGAAGGGACUGAAGCGUAUUCUGUAACAUAAAAUGCUUCGUUUUGAAGUCCAUUCGAGGGAUUUUAGCAUCAGGCAUGACCCCUGUUUUUAAUCAAGUGCCUUGAACACCCUUGGUUGCUAUGUAGCUGUCCAGCACAUUUGUCAUGAUGGUUCCACUAUAAUUGACCAAAUAGUUGGAUUAAAUUCAGAGAGGCUUUUCUAAUGAAGUAUAGCAGUUUAAAGUAUGCUACCUUCGAGUUUGGUGCUAGAUUUUGAGAACUGGGCAACUAAAAAGCACCAUGUACAAAAGGUUUGUGAUAUUGUGAUGUGGAGAUGAAAUAUUGAGUUAUUAGGAAAAAUAGAAAAUAGUUUUGUUAGUGAAUACUUUGAUAGAAAGAAAACUGAGGAAGAAUCCUUUAAAAGAUACGGAUAUGUGCUAUAGUUAGAAGACGGUAAGAUAAUCAAUUGUAGUUGUACGAAAAGUGGUAAGGGGAUCUAAGAAGAUCUUACCAAAAAUUAUGAAUAAAGGUCCAUGUCACCGACAUUAAAUAGUUGGGACAUUAUGGCCUAUCAGUGUUGUUGUUGUUCUUAAAGGAAAUGUCCAACUAAUUACAGAUGAGAAUUCUGCUUCAUGAUUGGAGAGAAAUGAGCAAUAUGGUGAUUUAUUCAUUACGUACUAUGUUCAGCAUUAUAUAUAUAUAUAUAUAUAUAUAUAUAUAUAUAUAUAUAUAUAUAUAUGGACAGGUUUUAAGGUUCUAUUGUUUGAUCCUCGUGCAAGGCAGAGAGGGAGGAAGUGGAAGAGGAAAGAAUAGUAGGUGGUGAUAGGUCUGUUUGAAGCAAUUCCUUUAAUCAUAUUUAGAUUUGGAUCCUUUAGGCCCUUUAUUGGAUUUGAGUUAUGUUCCUUGGUGAACCAAUGUAUAUCUAAGCUGCUCAUGCAUUUUAUUAAAUUUCUUAGAUAAUAGCUAUAACCUAGGAUUGACAGUAAUGGACUCCAAAAUUCUAGUGCGGUUAGUAAUCUUGUCAUAGCUCAACAUUUUACGUAAUUGUAAUGCUCUUGGAUAUCGUCUACCAAAUUGCUAUAUUUUAUUUCGGAGUAAUCACUUUACAUCUAUAGCAUUGAUGUAUGAUACGAAGAAUCAUACUCCUUUUUCUGUUCUAUUGUAUACUCAUGAAAGCUAGGUGGUCGACCUUAAAGUUUUAACUUUGGUAUGUUCCCUAAAAUGAUGCAAUAAUUCUUGCUGUUGCCUUUUAGUUUUUACUUCCAGACUUGUUAGAAAAUGAAGGCCGCAAGUUGCACUUCUUUAGAAACUUCUAACCAAGAUGUCAGAAAGGAUUUAUUGUUUUAAUGAUUGCUCCUAUUUGCAAAAUAUGUUAGAGCAGGAAUAAAAUUUAAUCAUCUGAUUAGAUCUAAAGUAGGUAAAGAGGUGAAAUAAUCUGAAGAGGUAGUUAGAAUUUAGAAAUAAGAAUCAAAAUUAUUGUCCUAAGCGUAUUCUAUCGGCCUUGUAUUGGCUCCCUUCGGGGAAUCAUCCAAGAUAUAACCGGGAUUGACUCCUGCAUGCACAUACGUGGAGAAUUGGACUGAUGGAUUAGUAUCCAGAAAAUGGAAAGAAUGUUUGAAGGAAUAAAAAAGUUGGAAAGUGAAGAUUGGAUGAGAAGAAAAAAAGUUGUCAUCAAUUGUGUAAAAUAGCUUAGUAAAGGGGGUUUAAAUAGAUUUUUGGUCCAAUCAGGGAUGUCAUGUGAGUUUGUCAUGUGGCACAUUGCAUGGGGAAGAAAAGGCAAAACUUGCCUCAUCCCACAGUGCAACUUGCCUCAUUGGAUAGUGUCAUGCACCACACACAAUGGGCCAUGUCAUGCGUGGAAAUUAGCUAAGAAAAAGUCACGCACAAGGGAGAAAAGGCAAGAGCAAAAUUAUAAUUUUAGUGUUUUUCCUUUAGAGCCUUAUCAAUAUGUUUUGUUCAAAAGAAAGCUACUAAAAUUACAAUUUUAUCCUUGCCUUUUCUCUUGUAACUUUUUCUUGGUUGGUUUCCAUGUGUGACCCGACUCAUCGCGCAUAGGACACAAUGCUUUGCACUGUGCAAUAAUGAGGCAAGUUUUUCCUUCUUCCCAUUGUUGCUGCCUAGUAAGCAUGCAGUGUUCCACGUGGCACAUUUGCAUGUUGCCAUGUGGUAGUCCUUGAUUUGCCUGAAAAUGUAAUUAAGCCCUUCUUUACUUGGCCAUUUUACACAUUUGAUGGCACAAUUUCUUUUCUUCACCGAAUUUCACUUUUCGGAUUUUCGAUUCCUUUCGAUAUUCUUUUGAUUUUCUAGUCAUUGGUGUGGACUGUCCAUUCGAUUUUCUACGUAUGUGUGUGCAGGAAAAUCUAACUCCAGAUUGUAUCUUGGACGAUUCCUCGAUAAGCACCAGCAUGAGGCUGAGGGAAUACACUUGUGUCAAUGAUUUUCACCCCUUUGGAUUCUUAUUUCAAACUCCCUCUUUAGAUUAUUUAAUGUUUUUGUCUGUUUUAGUUCUGAUCUGAGAAUUGAAUUUUAUUGCUGCUCUAAAAGAAUAGUGUAAUUAGUCCUUUUUCUAUGCUGCAUUCUGCAAAAUAGUUGUUCUAUUAACAUUCUGGCUAUAAUUUAACUAUCGCAUCUUAUUGAAAAAAUAAAAAGUUGAUGGAAAUGUCUUCUUGUUUGUAAAAUACAAUUUACUUACCUAAUUUUCUUGUUUGUAAAUGUCUUCUACCGAAGUAAAUAGUGAUAAAAAUGGCACACUAUUUUAAUUGUGCUUUUGCAUAUAAUUAAUAUGUAUUCAGUUUGAACUUUUGAUUAGACUAAUUCUUGUGCUUUUCUGUUGUCUAGGGUCUCAUGCAACACCAUGAAGAGAUUAUUGAAUACUUCAAGAAGAGAGGGGUUUCUGUAAUACUUCUCUUCAGAAGAAAUCUACUUCGUCGUCUGGUUUCAGUACUCGCAAAUACUCAUGAUCGGGAUGCCAAGCAGCUAAAUGGGACCCAUAAAGCUCAUGUACAUUCCAAGGAUGAGGUUAUGUUCUUGAUGCGUAUUACUUCCACUCGAAAAACGUUCUUGCAUAAAACUUUUGAGAUCAUUGAGACAGACUCAAACCUGCCAUAGUGGAUAAGCAUACAUGCAAGAUCUUGAAAUUUGUUAUUUUUGUGGCAUGCAGGCUGAUGUACUUGCUCAAUACAAGCCCACAAUCAAUACGACAUUGUUGAUCCCUGAGCUAAAGCAUACAGAUAAAUGGGCUUCUGAAGCUCUAGGCUACUUCAAGAGCUCCUGCCAUAUUCUUCUCUACUACGAGGAUCUCGUCAACAACACGACUGUGAGUUCUCGACUCUUGUGCCUUUCAAAGUAUCAGUAACAUGCUGUAGUUCAAGCCCUCAUAACUGUAGAUGGGUUUGGUUUCCGCAGAAGCUGAUGGAUGUCCUAGAGUUUCUGAAACUACCCCGACAGAAACUUUUCAGCCGCCAUGUCAAGAUCCACAAUAAGCCAUUGUCUGAUCAGAUAGAGAACUGGGAUGCCGUUCAUGCUGCCCUCAAGGGAACAGAAUACGAGAGCUUCGUAAACACGGACUACGGUGUGUAGCAACAUAUAUAUAAUCACCUGUGUUGUUAUUGUUGUUGUUGUAAAUAACUUGAUUUUUUUUUAUUUUUUCUUCUCUUCUUACACAAGGGGUCGCUACAUCCAUCAACAAAAGUUGUAGGGCGAAUUUUGGUUCUUUCAUUCUAACAAAUAUUUUUUUGUGACAUCCAUCAACAAAAGUUGUUGGGCAAAUUUUGGUUCUUUCAUUCUAACAGAUCUUUUUGAUGUCCUUUGUUUUAUGUGAUUUACUUAGCUGUAAAUCAUUUUAAUUCUUAUCUGAAGUUAAUGAAGAUUGGUGUCAAAUUUAGGUGCAUACUACUAUCUUGCGAUUGAUUGCGGUGGGUGUUCUUUUGGCUAUGGAUGAUGAAUACUUGCUUGUGCAGUCCUAAUUAGAAGAUUAAUCAUCAAUGCGGAAUUGUUUCCCAAAAACCAAAGAACCGUAAGAACAUAAAGAAGAUAUUAGCCAACAUUUUAUGUAGAAAUGAGACUUAUCAAUGUUGAUUUUUCUUGGUUGAGAUCUCAUCACUGCCUCCAAAGAGGUGUCAAUAAUUAAAUCUUAAUCAUCACAUCGAGUUAUUUUUGUUGAUAUAUCUGAAUUGAAUCUCUAUCUUUCAAUCAAGUAUUUGAAUUUUAAAUCAUCACAAUCCGUACCUUUUUUGUCCUUUCAUUUUAAUUUUUUAUUAGAAGAUAUACUCUCAAAUGCCCAAAGAAAAUUAUAUAUAUAUAUAUAUAUAUAUAUAUUUAUUUAUUUAUUUAUUCAUCAUUCACGGUCCACUUGCCAACCCGUUCUGUAGUUUUUCGUCUCGGUGGGACCCACUGACCCUGCGACUGAGAAACUCUGGACCCUGUCCUCGGAACGCACAGGAAAUCCGCGAAUCCGGAACAAGACCGGAGCCGGUUCUCUCGCAGCCGCCGAUCCCCAAACGCCGCCUCCAGCCACCCUCUCGCCGGCGACGAUCCGAGGUACCUUCGUGCCCUUCGAUCGCGAUUCCGGCCGCUAGUUCCUGGCUUCCUUUCUUCCGUUCUCCCCUUCUCCUCCUUUCUGGAUGCUAGGGCUCUUGUCCUUGUUGGGAAAUUUGUGGAUCUUUUUGCCGUAGCCGCGUUUAUCGGCCAUGUAGCUGCCUCUCUCCCAGAACAUAUGUUUCGAUGUAUUUCUGUUCUUGGAUCUGGAGUUCCUUUUUGGGAUUUUGGGGGUUUAUUCUAUUCCGGAACGACGUGCUAGGGCAAAGAUGAAUACUUGAGGUGCUGAUUUAAUGAAGAAGAUUGUCUAAGACAACGAAUUUUACUUUGUUAGUGAUUCCAUUGAGGCAGUUUGGAAACCGGAAUCGAGCUCAUCACCAUUUGAUGUUCUACCUUAGUAGGUUGGUACCAGUUCUGAGCAAAAUAUUUCGAGUUGGCGCUCAGCAUGCUGAACAGAUAUAGUGACGAGACUGAAUGAAAAGAAGAGAAUGAGAAACAGAGGGAGUGAAUUUAGAAAAAAGGAAAGAGAGAAAACGAUAUUAAACAAACAAAAAAAAAGGAAAAUAAAAACUAAUGCUGGCAUAGCACUUUAGCUCUGGUGGCUUUUGCCUUUUGUCUGAUGAUUCUUCUCUUUGUCGACAUCAGACUAUAAUGGAUUUUCAUGAUGAUGAGCUUUAGAAAAGAAGCAUGUAUCGGUUAGUUUCAUUGGUGGCAUAAAAGAUAUGUAUGAUAGCGCGGUCACCGUGUUAGGAUUGUAGAGAUUAUAUCUAGUGAGUUCUCUACAACUAGAGUUGCUUCAAGUUUAUGUCUUUAUCCUACUACAUUCAUUAUACAUUGGUAAUGAACAAACUUGGUAGUCAUAUGCAAGAUAUAUGAAAUGUAAGGUAUGAGGAUAAACCUUGAAAAUUAAAGAUUGUAGAUUCACUAGGAUGAAAAUAGAUAUAUGAAAUGUAAUUUUAGUAGUUUUGGAUAUCUUGGGUUUAUAAUUCAACAGGAUUGAGAGAUUGAUGAGGAUAUUGUUCAUAGAACAAAAGCUGGGUGAUUAAAGUGGGCAAAGAUGUUGGAGGUUUUGUAUAAUCAUCAGGUACUCCUUAGAUUAAAACAAAAAAAUAGGAUACUUAUUAUGCUAGACGUGCUUUAUGUGUCCAAUUGUUGGGUGGUUUCAUGUACAAAAAGUUUGUGUAAUUGAUGUGAAGAUAUUAUGGUGAAUGACGAGGAAGGAUUGAAAAUGAAAUAUUUCUUUUUUAACAAAUAAGUCACCUUGAUAGAGGAUAAAAUGAAGUUGAUUUCAGUGGUGUGAAAUGUAAAGGAAGACAUAAGAGGACUCCAUUGAAACAAUGAGAAGAUACUUGAAAUGUUCGUUAUUUAACAAGAUGUAUUGCUGAAAUUGAAUCACGGGAAAAGAACCAUGUAGCCAACGACGACUAGUUAGGACUUUAUGACUUGUUAUUGUUGAAUCAAUCUGGCUUUCGUUCUUAUGAACUACUUGAUGAAGCCAUGUAGAUUUUCAUUACAUAUUGUAAGAUGUCCAAUUUUGUUUAUCUGAAAUCAAAUUCAAUAAGAUCAUUGUGAAGGGGUAUAUUUUUAGAAUGCGUUCAAAUUAUUUACUGUUUUAAGUAUUAAUGAUUAUAAACUAUAUGACCUUUUAGCUUUUCCUAAGUGAUUUAGUGAUAAACCUGUGUAAUCUCUAAAUGCAGACAAGAGCAACAUCAAAAGUCAAUAACUAAAACAUUUAAUGUAAUGAUUUUGAAGAAAAAUAGGAAAAUACAUAAGCAUUGUAAAAGUGAGGUAGUUUAGCAACAUCAAUUCCCCUAUGUCAUGAACUAAAUAUACUGCCACUAGAAUCAAAGUCAAUCCUAACGAAUCCAAAUUUUUCCCUUAAUUUGCACAUCAUGAUGGAAUGGAAAUUUUGCUUUGCUGCAAUGUUUUCACAUAUUGAUUUUUUCCAAAUUACCUUAUAUCAAUGUUUAAUUACUUGCAAAUCUUGACUUUGUUUAGCCAGAAACCACAGAUCAUAUUGUGGUGUCUUGCUUUUGCAUAGCCCUAGCCCAACUGUGGUAUUCUUUAAUAUGAUAAUCUGGAAAAAGCCUUAAAUGACAUGAGAUGGCUGCAAGUAAGAUCUGACAAUCUGAAUCCUCUAAUAAGGUUAAAUUUUGUUGGUUCUUUAGUGCAUUAUUGAAGGAUCAACCUCUCCGAGGUAGGCGUGCUAUCCAUUGUGGUUCAGAUGAUUCAAGGUACCUUAAUCUUGUCUUUUUGACUGCUCAUGUCUUGUGUAACUUCACAGUAUCAAAUUUAUAAUUAUUCUUAGCAACUUGUAAUCAUUUUUCAGUGCAGUCGAUAAUUGAAAAGAUUUGAAUUGUGUGCAGAAAUAUUGAUCUAGUUGGAAUUAUUGUUUUCAACAUAAGGCAGAUAGGGAAGAUGUACGUGUUUGGUGGUUGCAGCACAAAGAGGAAAAAGAACAGUUUUGUUGCCCCCACCGUAGUUUUUGCUCCUUUGCAGCCUGUGACAACCGUAAAUGUUGGUGCCCAUCCACCAGCAGUACAACCAUUACUGCAUAUGUGGCCAAGUCCACUGGUCAUAUUGUCUCAGGCUACUCCAUGGGCUGCACAACCACCUAAUUCAUCUAUAUCAGAACUUCCUUCUGUGCAUAUUGUUAGUCAAAAGGUGCUUGUCCUUCCAUUUUUCUUGUUUGAUUAUCAUACGUUUCCUUAUGAAGCUCCUGGAGUUAUGUUUCUGUAUGUGCCAAAUGAUUUAGGUACUUCUCUGAAAAUCAGCUUUUGGAACUUCUGACCAAAAACAUAUCUGAUACGAAUAUUUGACCAGAAUAGCAUGUUGGUGAGCAAUAUCUUUACCAAAAAGAAACUUUAAUCAAGAACUAAAUAUAUCCAGUUGAAUAAUCUUUUUGAACUGAAAAACAAGGAAAAUAUAUAUUGAAAUCAAUGCUUAUUCCGAAUUUCUCUUAUGGAAAAUUUUUAUCUUCCAAAUUGUGAAGUUGUUUUUUAUUAAUGUAAUAAGAGGCGAUUCUUCUCGCUAAUUAAAAAAGUUUCAAUUUGCAGAUGUAUUUGUUUAAAUUGAAUAGUCCUAAUCCCGUAGUAUGUUAUGUGAACUUUGAAAUAGAGGGGGAUUGACUAAUGCAUUAAACUGUUUUCUUUUUAAAACUUCAACUUUUGUGAUUUCUAAAUGUGCUUUUUGUUAAACAUUCAUAGGGUGGUCUUUUUUUUAACUCUUGUGAGGGAAACAUAUAACUUUGGAUGACUUCUAGUUGUCAGUGAAAUGUAAUUGUCUGCCAAUGCAAUUUUUUUUUGUCUACUUUAGUUGGAUUUUCUUUCAGUAUACUCUUUUUUGCUACUUAAUUAAUUAUAUGAAUUUUCUUUCAGUAUACUCUUUUUUUACUCUGUUGAUCCAAAGACAAUUAAUUAUAUGAAUCAACAGGGAACAAUGAGUGACAUGGCAAGUGCUGAUGCUACAACAUUGGGAGGUAGCAUGAAAUGGUUACCUAGGGUUGAUAUGUUGUUUGACAGUGAAAGUGAUGCAUAUGAGUUCUAUAAUACAUAUGCUGAGAAUGAAGGUUUUAUUGUCCGAAGAUCAUCGUCAACAGUAUCAGCGAAGAAUAUUAUCACUAAGAGGACAUUCGUGUGCUCAAGAGAAGGCUUUCGAGAAAAGAAAAAAGGAGAGAGAGAGGUUAAGUGCCCACGAGCAGUAACCAGAAUUGGUUGCCCAGCAUGCAUGACCAUCAGGCUCACACCUACUGGGAAAUAUCGUGUGACAGAAUUCGUACCAAACCACAACCAUCAACUCGCAACAGUGGCCACCUUUGAUAAAUUGAGGGCCAAGAAGUUGAGACGCAAUGCUCGAGUAGCAAGAGCCGGCUUGGUCGAUGAUACAGUGAGAAUACCUGAGUUUGAAACUGAAGAUGAGGCCUAUGAAUUCUACAGUGCAUAUGCUGGAAGGAUGGGAUUUCGUGUUCGAAAAACAAGUGCGACAGUCACCACUGAAAAUGUAAUGACUAGAAGGAUGUUUGUUUGCUCAAGAGAAGGAUUCCGUGAGCAGAAAAAAGGAGAAAAGAGAGUUAGGAAACCACGAAAAGAAUUUAGAACUGGUUGUCCUGCAUGUAUGGUUAUUAGAAGAACAUCUACAGGCAAGUAUCGAGUAAGUGAGUUUGUUACAUUUCAUAACCAUCAGCUAGAAUCUUCUUUAUCUACUGAUAUCUUGACAACUGAGACUGCAGAAAAUGGUUCAGAUCAUGUUUCGGACAUGGCCAAUGAAUCUGCAGAUGAUGAUGUUCCCAGUCAAGUCAUAAAUCAUCAACAUGGCACCUUGCUUCCUCUAGAUAAUAGAAGUUACCUACAUUCCAAGCGGAUGAAGGCUAUUCAAGUAGGUGAUGCAGGGGCUACAUUGGAAUAUCUACAAAAGAUGCAAGAAGAUAACCCAUCAUUCUUCUAUGCAAUACAAGUUGACAAGUUUGAUAAUUUAACCAACUUCUUCUGGGCGGAUGCGAAGUCCAUGAUGGACUUCUGUUACUUUGGUGAUGUCAUAUGCUUUGACACAACCUACAAGGUGCUUGGUUAUGGUAGGCCAUUUGCAUUAUUUACUGGUGUUAAUCACCAUAAACAGACCGUUAUAUUUGGUGCUGCUUUGCUUUAUGAUGAAAGCACAGAAUCUUUAAAGUGGUUGUUUGAGAGUUUCAAAACAGCAAUGAGCGGAAAACAGCCCAAGACAAUUUUGACAGAUCGUUCUCCAGUGAUUAGUGAGGCAAUAACUGCAGUUUUUCCAGGUACAAACCAUCGCUUCUGCGUUUGGCAUAUCUACACAGAUGCUAUUGUGCAACUUAGUCAAAUAUUCCAUGGAUCAAGAACUUUGGCAUGUGAUUUCAGCAGAUGCCUAUUUGAUUGUGAAGAUGAGGAAGAGUUCUUAAAAGAAUGGGAAACAAUGUGUGAGAAGUAUGAUCUCAAAGACAAUAAAUGGGUGGCUAAGCUAUUUGAGGAAAGAGAGAAAUGGGCAAUGGUAUAUGGACGUGAAACAUUUUAUGCAGAUAUGAAAAGUGUCCAACAGAAGGAGAGCAUAAGCACUGAGCUAAAGAAAUAUUUAGGCAAUGAAAAAGAACUUCCGAGCUUUUUUGAACAUUACGAGAGAAUAUUAUCCGAGAGACGGCAUGCUGAACUACAAGAUGAUUUUGAUGCUAAUCAGAGUACUCAAAAGCCACCUUCUAUGCGAAUGCUGAGGCAAGCUGCAAAUGCUUACACUCCAGCUGCAUAUAGAAUGUUUGAGAGGGAAUUUGAAUUGUACAUGGAUUGUAUUUUGCUCAGUUGCAAUGAAUUUGGGACAUUAUCUGAAUACAAGGUCAUGGUUGAGGAGAAACCUAAAGAUCAUGUUGUGAAAUGUGAUUCUUUAGAUAGUUCUAUGUCUUGCAGUUGCAAAAAGUUUGAGUUUCUUGGGAUACAAUGUUGUCAUGUGUUAAAAGUGCUAGAUACUCAAAACAUUAAAGAACUUCCACCACAGUACAUAUUGAAGAGGUGGAGGAAGGAUGCUAAGACCAGAAAUCUAAAUGAAGAUUUUGCUUUCCCAUUUGAUGGUGAUCCUCAAUUAUCACUAGCAGAUCGUUAUAGUUAUCUAUGCCGCAUUUUCAGUAUAGCUGCAGCACAUGCAGCAAAAACUAUCGAUUCAUACACAUUUCUUGAGAGUCAUUCAGAGGCGCUGAGUAAUCAGUUAGAGCAAGUUUUACAUACAAGCUCGCUUGAGAUGCCUGCUGUGAUUUCUGCAUCAUGUGAUCGACUACAAAAUCCAGUUGACACUGUGGUUGCUGAAAGUGUGCGGUAGAACAAGAUUAGUCCAUUUUCCGGUGGUGCAGCUCAUGGUACAGAUAUACAAGCGCAUGGUUUUAUUAAAAUAUGUCUAUUUUAUAUACGGUUAGCUUAUUUUAACAUUUAACUGCAGUGUCUGCCUCUAGUUUAUUGAUCUUCAAUAGCUAGACUAUUUAUAUAAGCAGGAUGCUUGGUCAUAACAGUUCAUUCUUAAACAAGUACUUAUUUUGUUCCAUAGAUCCUUACUGUUUGAUCAUAUCGGACUCCAUUUUUUCUGUUAAUAAGACUAUCAUGCAGUCGUUUGUAUCAACCCACUCAAGCUGUUGAUGUUUACCUUUAAAUUGUUCCUGUUUUACUGUGCAACAGUCAUAUUCUUGUGUUUGCCUAUCUGAACAUCUUUACACGUCUUGCGAUAAAAAAGCUUGUGUUUUUAGUGAGAUAUUUCUUUGGAUUCCAAGCAGGACCUGUGUAGCUUGAUGCAUGUCUUGCGAUAAAAAGCUUGUGUGCUUCCAUUAAGACGUUUCUUUGAAUUCCAUGCAGGAUUACUUGAUUCCAUACGAUCCCAUCUGCAUAACCCCAACAAUGAUGAGGUUUGUUGGACAUCCAAAGAUGAUCUGGAGUUCUGUACGGUUUCAUUUUCUGCUAAGGCAAUUAUGUUCGAUCAUGUUGCACUGGAUAUUGGUUUGCUUUGUCAUUUUAUGGUCAGCAAUCCUGUUUUCCAUUAAUGAGAGGUCAUUCAAUUAAUGCAUGCCAUUGGAGAACAUGAAUUGGAUUAGCUAAGUCGGUUUACGCAUUUUAAGAAUGCUAGCGGACGAUGUUAAAGGUUGUGUAUUGAUCGAUCAAACCUUUGACAGAGUAGUAGGCCUAGGGUACAUGUGGGUUCCUUUCUCCCUUGAAGGCUUCUUCUUCUUCUUCUUCUUCUUCUUCUUCAAUUUGUAUAGCUUCAGUUGCAAGGUACUUAAUUCAUUUCUUCAUCCCACUGUGUUCUAUUUGCAACAUUAAAAGCAGUAACUUUAUGAUCAACAGAUGUGUGGAAUUCCAUGAUUUAUGACUUUUCAAUGAUGAGUGUAGUCUAUGUUUUCACCAGGAUUUGGUAAUCUUUUUCUCAAAUAUUUGAGUAGUGUGAGGCUUUAGGUGAUUAUUUUUUUUAUGCUACUUCAGCUGUCUUUUCAAUUAUUUUUCCUGUUGAACAGAAAAAUAUUUCUUAGUAUUACUAGUUAUUGUUUCAAAACAAGAAAAUAACAGGUUUUUUAUACCCUCAAGAUUCUUCUAUGAUGUAUAAUACAGGGCACAGAUGGAACAGCUAAACCUUCCAUCAUUGUUUGAGGUUUCAUAAUUACUAUAUAAAUAACUGAUUAACUAAUGAUUUGUUUGAUUAGCAUAGAUUAAUACAUUUAAUGCCACCAUAUUAUUUAAUACAAUUUUAGUUUAUGAUUUCGUUUAAUAAUAAUCUUUAUUUAUUAUAAACACUGGUCAUAUGAGUCUUGCAUAGACGACAUUCUACAUACAUACAUACAUAUGUAUUUUAAUUAAAAGGCUCAUAAAUAAAUAAAUAUAUAUAUAUAUAUAGUAAUAAUCUUUCACAUAAUUAAGGAUUUGAUCAUCUGAUGAUUGGAAUUAGUAUCAAAUGUCAUCAUCAAUCUAUUGAUGGACUUCGAUCGAAGAAGACUCUAUUAAAUCCAUUAUCUCAUUACCCACUAAUAUUUCCUAUUCAUCUCAAUUUCAAUCUAUUCAAUCUGAGUUAAGUCGUCAUAUAUUAACAAUGUUACGUCAGAGUCUCUCGGAAGCUUCCGUGCGACGAAAAGCCAAAAAAGGCAAAGCUCCCUUCUCUCUCUCUCUCUCUCACGCGUCUUCAGCGCGUCCGCCGUUCUGCUCCCAAGUCGAAGUGCGACAUUUUGGUGGAAGAAAUGAAGAAAUUGUUAUUCGGGAGCAUCCUUUCGGCUGCUCCGAUCCGAAGGGAGGAGCUUCCUUUCUCCUUCGUUUAAGUGCCAUUUAGAUACGAGUUUCUUUCUUGGAGGGCACUUGAAGUUGGUCCGGUCAAAAGGGGAAGAAACCUUGGGCGAUCUGUGAAUCUGCUUGCCAAUUUGGGGCUCUUCUCUUUGGUUACACCAGAACGUUGCUCUCUGGCGUGAUUCGGUCCAUCUCUUGGCGCGUACUUUGUGCGUCCUCUGGAUUCUUAUUGAGGCUUCGAGGCUUUCCUCCUGUUUGUCGACUCGACAGUGGUGAUCUCGGGUGUGAUUUGAUCUGUUUCUUGGUUUCUCAGGUGGAAAAGGAGCCGCCUUCGGACGUUACUAGUGGGAUUCGUGCCUGCUGUUUGACGUGGUUUUUUCUGAUUUCGUGCGAGGGAAAGGAGCGAUCUUUGAUCGACUUCGGGGUUCUUACUGAGGCAUUGAGUCGUGUGUAGUCCGUCGGUGCGGAUCUUGUUUGUAUAUUAUUUAAGGCGGCUACUUUCCGGUUUUAGCUUGCUGUUUUAGCUUGCUGGAGUUCAUCCGCUCAAGGAUCAAAGGCCGCGGAAAAUUGAAGGGUUCUUUCCCCCUUUUUUUUCUUGUGCUGAUCGUGUCGCCAAAGCUAAGCUUUCUCUUUCUGGCAAUCUCUAGCAACUUCAUUCCGGCUCUUGGUUCUGGAGAUUGGUUAGGAGCGCUGUUUUCUUAUUUCAAAGAAAAGGAGCCACCUUUUCAGUUAAUUACUGUGAUGUUCUGGGAGGACACUGGAAGAUACAAAUUUAUCGAAUGCGAAGAUUAGUCUCACUUUCUAAGAUCAAUCAGAGAGGUUAUGGCUUUAAUCAGGAUUUUUUUUAUCCUUGCAUAUAUGGUCUUGUUUCUGGUUCUUGUGCCAAAAGGAUCAAUGGGGAGACAGCACCAGUUCGUCAGUUUGACUGAUUCUCGGUUUCCCAAUCAGGUGAGAAGGAUGCUAUGAUAUAGCUUCCACCUUUCUUUCUUUAAGAUUGUUAAUGAAAUUAAAAUUUAUAACCUAAUAAAAAUAGCCUAUUUUUUGGUAACUAGACUUGAAAAACUUCCAUUGAUGGUGUUGUAGGUUUAUUUGUUUGUGAAUACUUUUUCAUCUUCUAGAAUUCAUCUGGAGGGGUGUACAGUUUCCAUCAAGUUAAUUUCUUGUUUCAUUCUUUCAAAUUCAAUGCAUCAUGAUUCUGUUGAACAAAAUGGUAAUUAGUUUGAAGGAAAUUAUGCAAAUAGAAUAUGAAUUAGCCAGAUGAUAUGAACUAUUUUCCUGCAGCUGGCCUGUUAACUAGAUCAAAUGUUCAUAUGGUUAGUAGACUUGAUAUGUUAAUACAUGAGUUUAGAUUUUCGAUAUCUGCCUUGACAUUUGCCACAUUUUUGCUUGGUGGAGGAUUCAAGAAGCUUCUUUUUUCAAACAUAAGCUGUCUAUAUUGUUACGAUAAAGGUGACUUAGGGUGGAAAUUUUUGUCAUUCCUCUUUUAAGUAUGCGGUUUCUCCAUGUUUGUCUGGAUCGAAGAGGGGACUAUACAUUGUUUUGAAUUUUCAUUGACCCUCCUGAUUUCUACCUCUGUCCCACACCAUUUUUUCUCCUUCCUUUCUGUUCUGCCAUCCUAGGUUGUAAAGAUUAUCCUAGUUGAUUCCCUGACUGCUUGUCUUCACAGGUUGCUGUGACAUAGAUUGGAUUCGUACCAAACAGUUUUUCAAAUUCUAAAUUUAUGAUGCAGAUUUGUUUUAGUUUUUUAAGUGUUAGUAUACGGUGCCUACCAAUUCGUCUAAGUUACUGCAAUGCCUACCAAUUCAUUUAAGUUACUGCAAUCAUGUUGCUCGAAAUAGUGAAGUGCAGUCAUGGAUCUUUGUGCUUUCCUCUGUGUUACAACUAACUUGGUUGUUAUAAGCGUCAUUUUAUCAAGCUUUCUGGAAAUUUGAAAAAACUUUACAUCAGCACUGAACAAAAAGAAGAGAGCAGGAAUAUGAACAAACAGAUAAUUAUGCCUUGUUGGUAGGAGCUUUCUUUAUCUCUAUUUGUGAUUAUCCUGUUCUCAAUUUUAUUACUUAAACCAAGCAUUGUUUUUCCAAUUAUGGGUAUACAUGAAAACCAUGCUGAAUCUUCAUGCUAGAUCUUCUUUUGCACUUUGGCCACAUUUCACCUGGCACUAACAAUUAGCAGUUAUGUUGGAUUCCCUAAUUUCUUGUCUUUUCUUUCUCAAGGCUGUGUCUAUUAUCAUUAACUAAGCUUUUUCAUGGCAAUCCUUUUUAAUGUCGUCAAUCAUGAUUCACUAUUAAGAUUAAUGGGUGAUGUUGGCUAUGGCAUUAGUCUAUUUUUCACACCUGGAGUUAUCUUGAAUCUUAACAAAAUCUCUAUAGUUUUGACAUGUAUGUCCUUAUGAGGCAUGUAGAUGCACAACAAAAGGUCAUCAUGUGGGCAUAGUUUACAUGAAUAUAAACACAAAUACUGUUAAGGGGUGUGUGGUGUAUGUACAAAUUAUGAGCUUUGGUGGUAUAAUACAGAAAGGUUUCGAUAUUGUUCCCCCUACAUAUUCUUUCUCUAUGUGGCAACACUUUCUUUUUAGAACAUCAAAAUUCAAAUGAAAAGUCAGUUUGUGCUUGAACCUAACGGAGGCAAUUAUACAUACUAAAAUUGCAUAAUCUGUCUGUGUCAUACUUGUCCUAUAAUUCUUCCCUGUUCUAUGAUUCAUCAAUACAUUAGUACUCAGAUCAUACUUGGUAUAGCUCCAUAGUAAACAUUGAUGUUGAUAGAUGCAGCAAUUACAGGUGCAAAAGAUGUUGCUUGAUUGUGAUCUACAUCUGAAAGAUAUAAUAGAAAUUAAGAAAAAUUUAGACUUAUCCGUGUUGGACAGCAUGGUCAAGGAUUCCAGACAAAUCAAUGUAAAAAAAGGAUCACAUACGGAAGACAAUGGAGACAAAGUUGCUGCUUCCCUGUCUCCACAGCUUGAGCACUUGUUUCUUGAAUGUUUGAGUAAACAGAACCACCCAGCUCAUGAUCCAGGAGAGGUGAAUAAUCUGAGAAAUUGGUACCAUUAUCUUGAGCAGUUACUUGGAUGGUAUCCUCAUUCAAGGAGGUAUCUGGCUGAUCAACCAGCCCAUGCACCUGCACCAGCACCAGUUAUUUCCUCUGCCCACGCUUCAUCUCCAUCUCCAAAUCUUUCGUCUGGCUCUCCAGCAUAUGGUCCGGCACCUUCCUCUAUCCCAGAUCCUCCUCCAAUUCAUGCUCCUCCCGGCAGAUUCUUUCCACCACUAUAUGACUAUAUGAGCCCAGACACAACUCCAACUUCACCACCAAAGAAUAAAGAGGACAGGAACAAAACAAUUAUUGUUGCAGUUGUUUUAAGCACAGUAGGCACAUGUUUUAUUGCAGCAAUUCUCUUUAUUCUCUAUAAUAAAUGCUGUAGAGACAAAGUUUAUUCAGGUAACAGCAUAAGGGAUGAUAGGCCACUUCUAAAUUUGAGUUCGAGUGACUUCUCUGGUAUGAAAAUUUAAUUUGUUUGUUCCCUAUAGUAUGAGCUUAAAUUCUAGAUGCUGACUUUGUAAUGUGUUUCCAGGGUCUUCACAAAACCCUUUUGGCAUGACAAAUUUAAGUGAGAAGAAACAGUUGGGGGCUUUUUCUCUUAAAGCUCAACCAAUUCAUGCUGGUAAUACUUCAUCUAUGAAUGUUGGCUCAGCUGAAAUUCCACCAUCCAAAUUACACUCAGGACUUUCAAAUUCAUCAAUAGAGCUUUCUAGUGCACCUACCAUUGGAUCAGCAGAGGAACCUACUUCUCCACCACCUCCUCCACAGCCUUCACUACCUCCACGACCUCCGCCACCUCCACCACCUUCACUACCUCCACAACCUCCGCCACCUCCACGACCACCUGUAAUGACUCCUGCGGUUCCAAAGGCUGCUCCUUCUGCUCCUGCUCCACCCCCUCCCAGACCCAAAAAAAUACCUGGUGCACCCCCUCCACCUGCACUGAAAGCUACUUUCCCUCCUCGUCCACCACAAUCAAACCCAAGUUCAUCAAGUGUACCUCAGCCUUCUUUCCUUGGGCCAAAACACCCUGUAUCUAGUGAUGAUGCACCAAAAACCAAGCUCAAACCAUUUUUUUGGGAUAAAGUCCUUGCAGACCCUGACCGCUCUAUGGUGUGGAAUCAGAUUAAGUCAGGCUCAUUCCAGUAAGCUCCUUUGUAUCUGAUCUUUUGGAUCAUUUUCAUAGUCUUAUACUGAAAAUAAUAACUUUUGUUUUUAGAUUUGAUGAGGAGAUGAUUGAAAGUUUAUUUGGUUACACUUCUACUAAUAAACCCAAAAAUGAUGGAAAGGAGUCUUCAUCAAAGAGUCCUGCUCAACAUGUUCAUAUUCUUGAUGCCAAGAAGUCCCAGAAUUUGGCAAUUUCAUUGAAGGCAUUGAAUGUGAAAAUAGAAGAAGUUUGUGAUGCUCUUAUGGAAGGUUAGUUUUUCCCUUGUAUAUUCAGGGACUUGCUUUAUGAAACAAAUUCUAUUAGUAUUGGUAUCAGAAAAAGAAUCAUGUCAGCGAAUUUUUCAUGAUGUCUCAAACUUAAUUUCAUUUCCUUUUGUGAUUGAUUCCUAACCUAUUUGUUGUUAGUGGUUGUAAUUGGAUUUCUAUGAGACAAUUAAGCACCCUGAAUCACAAUAUUAUCUCAAUGAACCAUUUGACAGAAGUAUAUGCUUUUGUUACUCGGUCAUCAGGGUUCAAGCUGCAGAUAAACCACCCUGCUUUUGGGGAGAAGGCUGCUUAUGCCAACCGUUCCCAGACCAUGCUUUGGUGACAUCUUUCUAUAUCGAAUCACCCUUUCUUUUCUGAUUCUGUUAAGUUGUAUUGCACCUUGUGGAACAGUAUUACUCGCUAGGAAAUAUUGGAUAAAGUCCAUGAAAAAGAAAAUGUUAAAAAAGGGUGUUUUAAGAUACUCUUGUACAUAAUGCAUACAUGUCUCUUGUUAUAAUGAUUUUCCAAAUCUUGGAUUUUGUUGUAUCUUCUCUUUUACCUUUCUGGUGAGAUAGCUCACUUGCAUGGAGAUUAUUAUUCAUAUGACAGUGUGCAAACUUUGUUUCUUUCAUGUCAUGCCAACUUAUUAUGUCUGAUACUUUUUGUAUUAUUUUCUAAACUAAACAAGACUCGGUACGAAUCCUUUAAAUUCAGUGCUAUUUUUUAAUUUGUGCAUUAUGAUAGUUUAUAUUAAUUUUCUGAACAAGGAAAUGAGCUUCCAGUGGAGUUACUCCAAACGUUGCUUAAGAUGGCUCCUACAUCUGAUGAAGAGAUGAGGCUUCGGUUGUAUACUGGUGAUAUUUCUGAACUUGGCUCAGCAGAACAGUUCUUGAAGGCAUUAUUGGAUAUUCCUUUUGCUUUUCAACGCCUAGAUGUGCUUCUUUUCAUGGCUUCUCUGCCAGAAGAAGCAACAAGUGCCAAGGAGUCAUUCUCAACACUAGAGGUAAGAUCUGAUCCAGCAUUCAUUUUUUUAAUCUUGGCUUCUUUUGUUAUCUUUAGUCAUUAAACUAGUUGAAGGCUGCAUUAAAACAUAUUCACUUCAACUGAAAUGUAGAAGUAGAUGUAUUUAUUCUUGUACCUUGUCAUGAAUAUUUUGAUGAUUCCCAAAACUUGUAGGAUACUUCAAUAUAUGUUAGGGCAUGCAGAUGACCCUUAUCUGGUAUUAUAGAAGGAAAAUACCACUUAAAACUCAAUGGAUAAUUCAUGGACCAACAUUUCAUGUUUUGAACCACAUAACUACAUCAUCUACUCAUCUAUAAACUUAUUAACAUAUAGAAUACAUGUCAGGCACAAGUAGACCAAUUUUGAGAAGUCCUCCAAGCAUAUGCUGGAUACUGACAAAACAUAUGUAUUUAAGUUCUUUCAUUUACUAUGGAUGUGAAUGGCAUCCUUAAUGUUUUUAUAAUUUGUCUGUAGUAAUUCUGAUGGGAAAGUUGUUUUGUCUUGAGUUAUAUAUCGUGGUAAUCAUAUGUUGUCUAACAUGUACCAUUUUUCGUUCUUGUAUUCUCUUAUAUAUUUAUAGCAAUGAGGUAACAUUGUAGCUGGUACUUGCCAUGCCAACAACAUGCAUUUUCAUAUUUUUCCAAAAUUUGCCAUAUUGACAUGUCAAUGUGAUCUUGUCCUUUUAUGCCAUGCCCAUGUUUCACAGCAAACCAUUCUAAGAUCCCUGUCAGUUUUUCAUGGUUGUCCUUGUCAGCAAAGAAAGAUUCCAACCAUGAUAAUUUGACGGGAGAUUGAAUUUUACCAUUUUACUAGGACAAUGCUCUAUGUUAUCUUUUCAUCAGCAAGGUUCAUGGUCGUCACAAACUUGAAAAUAUUUUUCUCAAGGCACUGUAUUUAAUGAUGAUUGCUAUCUUCAUAAUGGAUAUCCUUUAUUUCUUAUACCAUAGGAAGUACAGCUUUUACAAAACUAGUUAUAGACAUGGAUAUUUGUGAUUUACAUAUUCUUUUUCGACAUUAUUCUUAUCAGGUGGCCUGUGGAGAGCUAAAAAAUAGCCGGCUAUUCCUGAAGCUAUUAGAAGCAGUUCUUAAAACUGGCAAUCGCAUGAAUGAUGGUACCUUCCGUGGGGGGGCACAAGCAUUCAAGCUUGAUACGCUCUUGAAGUUGGCUGAUGUCAAAGGAACAGAUGGGAAGACAACAUUGUUGCAUUUUGUUGUCCAAGAGAUAAUUCGAUCCGAAGGUGUGCGAGCUGUACGUAUGGCCAGAGAACAAAGUGGGAGCAUCUCUAGUGUGAAUUCUGAUGAUCUUACUGAUGAUUCACUCCAUGAAUCCGAAGACUACUACCGUAAGCUUGGUCUCAAAGUUGUUUCAGGUCUUGGAGACGAACUUCUAAACGUCAAGAAAGCAGCAUGUCUGGAUGCCGAUGCGUUGACAACUUUGGUGGCAAAUCUUGGACAGAGGUUGGUGAAAACAAAGGAAUUCUUAAAUACAAGCAUGAAAAGUCACGAGGAAAGUGGGUUUCGUCACUCGCUUAAACAUUUCGUGGAACAAGCUGAAACUCAAAUAACUUUCCUAUUGGAGGAAGAAAAGAGAAUAAGGUCAUUGGUAAAGAAAACCACCAACUUUUUCCAUGGAAAUGCAGGGAAGGAUGAGGGGUUGAGAUUGUUCGUGAUUGUGCGGGACUUCCUUGUGAUGUUAGAUAAGGCCUGCAAAGAAGUGAGAGAGGCACCAAGAAAAGUGACGCAAACACGGAAAAACAGAGAAAUAUCGUCAUCAUCAACAGUACCAGAUCCACAGCAGCUGCUCUUUCCAGCGAUAAGGGAUCGGCGAGUUGACAGUUCCAGCUCAGAUGAUGACAGCUGACUUUAGCUAAAACAGGUAAUGUUUCACUUUUGCUAAGUAUCUAUUAUUUUCCUAGUUGGCAAUUGAUGGGGAUACUUCCUUGCUUGGCUGCUCAAAAGUCGACGACAGUACAAAGGAUUUACUAGAUGUGAUGAUCCUAAAGCAUAGAGGAAAACCUAUGAUUGGAACUGAUAUUACGGUUUGAGUCACAGGAACAACCUUUAUGCUUGUGUGUAUAUUGAUCAACCCUGAGAUCGAUGAAUCAUCGACAAGGGCUCCUCAAGCACUCACUGGAUAGUAGUUUGUUCAGAAAUGAUCAUGUUUUCUUUAGCAACCAAGCUUAGCUGACUCAAAAAAUUUUGAUUGUAGCUACAAUUACCAGCUAAGCUGAACUGACCCUUGAAAUUUUGAUUUGUAGCUGCAAUGCAAUGAAGCUAGUGUUUAUGGUUUAGUUUAUUCUAGCAGUAAAAGUCAUUAUUACUGACAGUACCCAACACUAUGGAUGUGUAGUUCUCAUUUUUCUUGUGUUGUUGCCACAGGGCUCAUAUGGUGCUGGAGGCUACAUAUUGAAAACCCAGUUGUAAUCGACUUGCUGUAAUCACUAGAAAGCUGAGUUCUUGGAAGCUUGAAUUAGGGUGCGCCAUGGCAUCAAUGGAAUGAUACAACACACUCAGAUUUGGGUCCUCGCCAUUUGCAUCAGGAAAUUAGAUUAGCCUUGUUUUCUUUGUAGCAGUUGAUACUGCGUAGAAAAGCUUCAGCAUUGUGAAUUUUGAAUCAUGAGUUCAAUUCUUUCAUUAUACAUCAUCUCUUGGAAGCUAAAAAAGAGUACUUUUUGAAGAGGAGAAAAUAUCAUCGAUUCUCAAAGACAAAUCAAAAUAUCUUUGAGCACCACAAAACAUUCCUCCAGCAGAUGGUAUUCUCCACUGUGACAGAUUAAUCCAAACAUGGCCUAACAUUUCCUUUGGCUUGAGCAGUAGCUUUGGCAUCCAAACAUCAUUUAGACAGAAUCGUAGACCGAGACAAGAUACAUGAAGGUACUAAGAACGUAACAUUCAUUCUUCCAGCAAUCUCAUUCAAACAGCGUAUGUUCUUAAUACAAGUAAGUUCAUAGAGAUAAGCCAUCAAAGAUGGGUUCUACUUAAGAGUGUCACUGGAUGGACCACAAGAAACAUGCAACAAGAAGAAAGCUAGUUGGGCAAUGGUAACAUAUCCUUGAUGGAAGGCUGAGAGAGCCCAAUGUGCUACACACUACUCAAAAACCAUGAAUCUUAAUAUGCUCCUUCUUCACAAUUCCAGCCUGCACCAUACAAAUCAAGAAAGUUUUAUCACCUUUCACCACCAGAUCUCUCUCCUAAUCACCACAAAAGUAAAUUAGGAAGUGCCAAGACAUACUGCAGUACCUGAACUAGGAAGCUGGAAACAUUCUUCCUCUGAUCACCUUGAAGUUGAAUGACCUUGAAAAAGGAAUCAUUUCAUUAGUAGUCAAUACGACCACUAGCAAGCACUAUAUCGAGUUAAAAGAUCGGUUUUUCCCUCCUCUUUCAACAUAUCUAAAAUAGAUGGUAAACCAAUACCUGCCCCAACUCUGGGUCUUGGACCACAGUACCAUUACAGCAGAAUUCCUUUUUCAGAUCCUUCAAGAUCUUAUUGUAGCUGAAUUCUUUCUUUAAUCCUUGCACAGUAGUCAGACUCUUCCUGCCGUUCCGCUGUUGUAUGCGGAUGUGCACAUAAUCCUUUGUGCCAGCACCAGAGUCCUCAGCAUUAGCAUCAGCAAAGGGAUCUACGGUAGAAGAGACAAUAUGGUUAUUUGUCUAAAGUUAGGCCAUCGCAAAACACCUAAUAACGUAGAAAAUUGCAUAGAAUGAGAUUUUUUUGACACACCAAAAGCGGUUGGGAUCUGGACGUUGAGAUCAGACAUGAACACUGGGACUAUCGAAGGGGAUUGCCGAAAACGAUUUGCUGGCUUCUCGAGCUGGAGUCAAAUUCCAGAACCAUGCAAUACAAGUCGACGUUAAGAGAAGAAUUCCAUGACAUUUGUACAGCACACAAGUAGUAGUACCCAAGAUGGUUUAACAAAAAAACAUUGAUCACAAUUCACAAUGCUUGGAAGGGAUGACCAAAUCAUAUUAACAACAGUGGCAGGAACAAAUUAAAUCAGAACAGUUACAUGUAGCAUUCGACUAGCAACAAAAUUAAAGCAUCCAGGCAUUGUUAUCAUAAACAGGGGCAGACUGUGACAUACAAAUAUGAGUUUACUAUGUCAUGAGGCAUAUUUGAAGGCAGCAGGGGGGACCAACCUCGAACAAUUGAAGUCCACAGUUUCUGUGAACCAGUGUUACAUGCUAAAGGAGUUAAAUAUAUGCAAUUGCUUUAUUAGGCUUUGUGCAGUUUCUUCUGAAAUGGUGAAAGAACCAUCAUCAAACCUUUUUUGAGGCUCAGUAACAGAAAUACCAAUUCAAGAAAAGAUUCAAGAACUAAAACAACCAAAUCAACCACACAAUGGUGAAGGUUGAACUCUGUAUACAAAGGGUUAGUCUCACCUUUUUGAGUUAAAAACACAUGAACAGAUAGUGAUUUGCAGAACAGAAGGCAACAGCAUACACCCCCUCUUAUUCUAAGACAACCAAGUCAGAUCCAUCAUAUUUAGUUGACAUAUUGAACAUCAAGUAACAUCAUCUUGAUUGCUCAAUUGUUCUGUACACAUCCUACAUCAUCAUGAAGGACACAACUUAUAUACACCCCCCUUGUUCUAAGACAAUCAAGUCAGAUCCAUCCUAUUUAGUUGACAUAUUGGACAUACAAACAUUAAGCAACAUCAUCUUGAUUGCUCAAUUGUUCUAUACACAUCCUACAUCAUCACGAAGGAAGCAUCUUAUAUACACCAAUAGUUGUUACCUAAGAAAAAAAUCCCUAAAUUGCUCAAGUUGAUGCGACACACUGCAGAUCCACAACCAACGAUUCCUAAAUUGCUAACUCAUAGCACGUUCGCAACCUAUUUCAGACUCAACAUGCUGCAAAGAGCAGGAAAAAAAAAAAUCCCUUUUUUCUUUAAAUUUCCUUCUGCAAGGGUAGAUGUCAGAAAGAGGAAAAGAGCAUAC
rnacentral:lncRNA from 1 species